AUCAAGAGCAGUAGUAUUAGAGCUGACCAAGCUUCCAAACCAUGCGAGUAAAAUUAUUUAAAGACCCACUAUAAAAUCCUUGAAGCAUAAAGAAAUAGAUAUUUAGGUAUGAUGUUCAUACAAAGUGUUAUAUAUUUCCUUGCAUCAUAGUUUUAUAGGCAAACACCUAAUAAAAAAUAUAUAUAAGAAAGAGAGUAAUUUCGAUAAAAUACAACUCUUUCUCACUGUUACAAGUAUUAUAUCCCUGUCAAAGCCAUGGUGGUAGUCAUUGUUCUUAUAUAUAAAGUUCUUUAUAUUAAUAAUACAAAAUAAUAAUUACAUCAAUCUGCUAUACUAAUUGAUUCUCUACUCCCCAUCAAUCCGCUAUACUAAUUGAUUCUCUACUCCCCAUCAAUCCGCUAUACUAAUUGAUUCUCUACUCCCCAUCAAUCCGCUAUACUAAUUGAUUCUCUACUCCCCAUCAAUCCGCUAUACUAAUUGAUUCUCUACUCCCCAGGUAUUUUCCGCUUCCACGAUUGACAUCUGCAGCAUGAGAGAGAGAGAGAGAGAGAGGUGUUCGAUGGAGAGAGCGUCGAGGCAGUGGCAGCAGGCAGGACACGAGAGGGCGGCUGCAAGGGGUGAGGAGGGAACGAAGAAAGUGAGUGAUCCAAGUGUGCCCGACCACGCCGACGCAGACCGACGCUCGGUCGGCGACUCCCACUCCUCUUUCCACUCUCUUCUCCCCUCCUUACAUUCCUUCUCUCUCCCUCUCAUCUUCUUUGUCUCCUGCAUGGACCGAUCCAUGGCGCUGCAUCGAAUCGAGCAUCGUCGUCGUCGCCCAUUGCCUGCUGGUCACCGCCGCCGCCGAAAAAGCUCGCCUCCGCGCCCCAUGCCUCGGAUGCUCCUCAUGCAUCUGCCCCCUUGCUCUCCUCGCUGUGCUCACGCCCCGCAAACCACGUGCUUGUGCCGACGGGGAGAGUAGAGGAGUAGACGACCACGACCUCCUCCUCCUCACGCAUGUGCCCCUCCCUCCGAUCCAUGGCGCUGCAUCGAAUCGAGCGUCCCCGUCAUCGCCCAUGGCUUGCAGGUCACCGCCGCCGCCGAAGAAGCUCGCCUACGCGUCCGCAUGCCUCGGAUCCGGCAGGCGCGCUGCCCCCUGGUCCUCCUCCUCAUGUAUCUGCUCUCUUCAUCUCCUCGCUCUCCUCACGCCCCGCGAUAGUGUCCUGAUCACUCGAACCCAUCUGGGUGGAGAACACCUAAUUUAGGUGGUCAGAUCCUUAUAUAACAGUAAGUUCACCAUGUCAGCCUAGUAAAAUCCAAUCUAAACACCAUGAAAUUUACAGAAUAAAAUACAAACAAGCAUGCUCAGUUAAAUCCUGCCUAUAGAUUAUAGAACUGUGAAAUGCCUAAACGAUGAUAUGCUAACACCUUCUACAAGCAUUCUGUCACUUAGCUGGUGUCAAAAUAACAACACAAUCAGCCAUGUUUAUCAAUAUAGAAGUUAUGUGGUUGUGUCGAUAUAAAAGACGCUGCACAAUAGUACCUUGGGUGGCAUCAGGAAGAUAGCCUUUCUGGAGGUGGCUCAGGCUUGUCCUGCAAACAACCCAUUAUAUAUAUCGGCAACAAACCAUGCGCGUGUGCGCGCACGCACACACACAUACAAGGAAAGAGAACCAUUGUUCUUCAGUUAUUUCCAUGUAAACAGAUUUUGAACGACAAUGUGAGAACAUGAGGACAUAAAGAUCACAAACAACAGUACAGGAAACAUAAACAUUCAUGUAGCGACCCUGUUAAAUAUUGUUCCCACUCAGCAGCUAUCCCAUAGAUAGAAAGGCGAACAACAAGGAACACAUGUAUGAGAUAAAUGGUGACCUACAGUCUUAUGUAGGCGCAUCAAUAAACUACACAACAUUCUUGGAGAAAAUAGAGAAUGCAAGAAAAUACAUACAAAUGCAUUGAGUCAAUAAUCAAAUAACAUACUUCUUAUUGUCUAUUUUGCUUGUAAUAACAAAGCCAAAACCAUUUGCUAUUUCAAACGUAAACUCACGCAUCUCUUUUACAAAUCAGACAAGAGCACCUACCAUCAAGAGCAGCCUGAAACAACGUCAUGAAGCAAGAAACAACAGUGGCACUAAAAACAUACUUUACUUUUGUAAGUGCGAACUUCUACUUCCAUCCAGCGACCAAAUUAUAGGACUGCCUUCUGCAAGGAUUUGAAGAAAAGAGUUACCCCAAAUGCAGACUUCUACAUAUGAGAAACUGCAACAACCUGCUUGUCCUCUUGUACAAAUUCCUCAUAUGAACAAUCAUAUUUCCAUGUGUAAAAUAUAAAUACAAAAUACUGGUUAUUCUACCCAUACAAGACAAGCUGAAGAAUAAUAAUCUAACCUUUCAUGGAUCACCAUAAUAAAAGCUAUUGUAGAAAAUAAUUUGGGCAAUCAAUUUCUGUGAGACCAAAAAAUGCAAGAAAAGCCGAUUAGUUGGGUCAGAAUAUUGCACCACUCGAUCAUCUCGGCAUUAUAGUUGCAGCCACCCAUAAAAACCAUGAAUGCUUCACACUAAAUAGGCAUAUACAUCGGAAUUUAGAGGGGAAUCACCGGAUGUAGUGUGCUAUGAGGCUGUUGAACUUGGUUGUCAUGUUGUCACUGCGCUGGAAACCUCGCUGAAAAGAUUCAAGAAGAAGCACCUAGUUGAGAGAGGGAGGCAAGGUAGAUGAAGAGAUAGAUCGGGAUGGAGUACAGGAGGGGAAAGAGAAACGGGGGAGGAUGAGCAUACCUGCAGCGUUCAUGGACUCUGCGAAUAUAAACGGUGGCCGUUGUUGUUGUCCUCGCGAGAACCUGAUGGAUACCCAAACCCUAGGUGCAAAAUAAAAAUUAAUUUAGGGAGGAAGAAAUCAAAAGGAGGCUCUUACACAGGAGGAAGUCCAAGGAUGCACUGAUCCAACUCCCUUGCUGCGUCCACCAUUUUCGUGUAAAUAGGUGAAAAGUGGAAAAAGGAGAUGGGAUAGGGGCUCACCUAUUCAACAAUCUCAAUAAGGCCACGCUGCCGGCGGAGAGGAUGCAUCGACCCCUUCCCCUCCUCACCCUCACGCCCCGCGACCCGCGCGCUUGCGCCGACGGGAGAGGGGAGGAGCCCACGGCCACGGCCUCCUCCUCCUCACGCAUCUGCCACUACCUCUCCUCACGCCCCGCGACCCCGCGCCGACGGGAGAGGAGAGGAGCCGACGGCCACGACCUCCUCCUCCUCACGCAUCUGCCACUCCCUCUCCUCGCUCUUGCGGCUGCCCGGUCGCUUCUCAUUUCCUUCUUAUCUCGCAGGAUUUUUUUACCUCUCGCGCGACGCGCUUGGCGGCGGCGGGCAGCGAGGUCGUGCGGGUCCUGCGGAGCGUGGCGGCGGACGAGGGAUGGAGGGAGGAGGGAGGGGGCUGGUGUGCUGUGGAUUGGGGGCUGGGUUUAUACGCUAGCGUGAAAUGACGAAAAUGCCCCCGUCGGGGCAUGGAAUUUACAGGCGGUGGCAGGCCGGUGGCAAGCACUAUUCAUAGCGUUAUAGGAAGCAACGUGGAUGGCUUCCUCCUGGCUAGGAGUCUAGCAUCUUUUAUAAAGAGAAAUUAAUAGGCUGAGUUCUUAGGUGAUACAAUCUUUUAGAUGAAUAUGCCCAUAUAGUUGACCAUGCGUUUCUUCUCAUAAAUUCGCAAUUAAAAUAUAUCCGGAUCUGCCUCUCCUGCUACUUUCUAUGACCGAAAUCUGUUAGACAUGCUAAGCUCACCUAAUUAGGCUAGUUUUCUGCUUACAAUAAAUAUUGCAUGGCUGUUGAUGUGACACUUCCAUGCAGCAUGCAUGUGGUAGAUGGAGACGUGUUGCAUGCAUGAUCCCUCNNNNNNNNNNNNNNNNNNNNNNNNNNNNNNNNNNNNNNNNNNNNNNNNNNNNNUUCCGAUUCUUUCUGUUAUUCUUCACCCGAUCAGCGUGGCGCGCUUGUGCAUCUCGAGGUAGUGGGAUGGCGCGGCAAAUCCGGUUCACAUCAAGCUGGCCGGGGUAGUUGGUAGUUUUCUUGUUUGUAACAGAUAAAAAUCAAGCAAAGAGUAGAAAACGCUACGCAGUUACGGUAGCAUCAAAAACUACUCGUCUCUCCCAUGUUCAUCUCUCUCGCAAGUUCCCUCUCUCGCUGAUCCGGUGACGACAUUUGGUAUCAGAGCCUUGGUGUUUGAUCCCUAAAGGCCGGCGGUGUGUGAUCCGCGGAGUUCAUGUCGGACGACGAGAAGAAGAAGAAGGCGACGGCGGCGGGGCAGUCACCAUCGGCCAGAGUGCCGCUUGCGCGCCUCACCGGCAGUGUCAGCGGCGAGAUUCGCAUCAUCGAGCGAGUCUUGCGCGAGUCGGAAGGCUCGUCGGCGUCCAUGAUGCUGACGAAGGCAAACUACAUGGAGUGGCCCCUUGUGAUGCAGGUUAAGCUGCAGGCCGCCUGUCUCUGGACCGUGGUCACCGAUUGCACCGACGACGAGCGCGACGACAGGCGCACCCUCUCCGUCAUCCUCACGGGUGUGGCGUUGGAGAUGCUUCGUGUUCUCGCGGCCAAGGACACGGCCAAGAAGGUGUGGGAAACAAUCAAGACGCUUCGCAUGGGGAGCGAGCGUGUGCGGGAGGCCAAGGCGCACGUGCGCCGGCGGGAGUUCGAGGACCUCCGCUUCAAGGACGGCGAGACCGUCAAGGAUUUUGCACUACGGCUCACCGGCGUCCUCGCCGAUCUGGAGUUGUACGGUGAUCCGGUGACGGAGCACAAGGUGGUCCAAAAAUUCCUCUGAGUCGUGUCGCGCAAGUAUAGGCAGAUGGUCAUGACGAUCGAGUCGCUGAUUGAUCUCAAGAAGAUGACGGUCGAGGAGUUGACUGGACGAGUAUCGGCGUGUGAGGACCACUACGGCCUCGACGACGCCGCGCACUACGGCGGGCAGCUCCUACUCACCGCCGAAGGGUGGGACGCUCGCGAGCACAAGUACGGUGGCGGAUCGUCAUCCGGUGGCAGCAGCGGAAAGGGAAAGUCAUCAGGCAAAACGCCGACCAAGGGCGGCGGCGGAGGCGGGAAGCCGCCGUCCGGUAACAGUUGCGCCGGUUGAUCCGGCGGCUCCGAUGGCAAGAAGAAGGGCAAAUGCUAUUAUUGCGGCAAGGUCGGACACUGGAAAAAGGACUUCUGGUCAUGGCUGGAGAAGCAGAAGGAAGAAGGGAAGAAGGAACAGGCUAACCUCGUCCGUGAAGAUCGCGAUGAACACGAUCAGGGUCUGCUCAUGGCCGUGGUCACCAACGUCUCCACACCUGAGCUGGUGGCGCCCCAAGAUGUGUUUCUGAACGAGGAAAAGGUGAUUCCCGUGCCUUCACCCACCGGCCUCUGGUACUAUGAUACAUGGGCGUCCAGCCAUAUGACUGGGAGAGGAACAUGUUUUCUACACUUGAUGAAGGUGUGCAUGGCACGGUGAAAUUCGGAGAUGGCUCUCUGGUGGCUAUCAAGGGCAGGGGCGCAGUUGUGUUUCGCUGCCAGAAUAGUGAACAUUCCGAGCUUAUGUAGCAAUAUCAUCUCAGUAGGGCAGUUGGAUGAGGGUGAAUGUAGGAUAGGGAUUGAAGAUGGGAUCAUGACCAUCCAAGAUCCGGGUCCGCGCACCCUGGCUCGCGUCAGACGGACGGCAAGCAGACUAUACACGGGCUUGCUGACCAUUGACGCCCCGGCCUAUCUCCUCACCAAGACUGAAGAUGUCACCUGGCGCUGGCAUGCGAGGAUGGGACACCUACACUUCAGAGCACUAUGAGCCAUGUCUUUGAAGGAAAUGGUACGCGUGAUGCCGGUCAUUGACCGUGUUGAGGAGUAUUGUGAUGGUUGUGCAUUGGGAAAACAACACCGUGCGCCUUUUCCUCAAGUGGUCGGACACAUAGCAGAGAAAGGCUUUGAGCUUGUUCAUACAGACUUGUGUGGGCCGAUCACACCAACCACACCGGGGGCAGUAAGUACUUCUUGUUGAUAGUUGACGAUUACGGGCGAUACAUGUGGUUGGAGCUGCUGAAAUCCAAGGAUGAAGCUCAUCGAAAGUUCACGAAGGUACAUGCAAUGGCUGAGAACGAGGGAAAAUGCAGGCUUCGCGCAUUCCGGUCUGACCGGGGCGGUGAGUUCAACUCCAUUGAAUUCAGAGAAUACUGCGAGCAACUGGGCAUCAAGAGAACGGAGUGGUUGAACGUCGGAAUCAGACAGUCGUCGAAAUGGCGCGUUGCCUGCUUAAAAGCAUGGACGUGUCGUCAUAUUUCUGGGCUGAAGCAGUGAAGACUGCGGUGUACCUGCUCAGCAGAGCUCCCACGCGAAGCUUGGACGGGGUGACGCCGUAUGAGGCUUGGCAUGGCCACAAGCCAAGCGUGCUGCACCUACGUGUGUUUGGGUGUGUGGCACACGUAAAGAAGCUUGGCCCUGGAGUGACGAAGCUCUCGGAUCGAUCAAUCCCAAUGAUCUUCGUCAGCUAUGAGGAAGGAACCAAGGGCUAUCGUGUGUACAAUCUGGCUACGCAAAAGGUACAAGUCACACGUGAUGUUGUGUUUGAGGAAAGCAUGCCAUGGAGCUGGAGCACCCAGGACGCGGUCACCGCGCCCCCGCCCACGCCGUCGACGUUCUCGGUGGUCUAUGCUGAUGACCAGGGUGUGCACGAACUGGACACUGGUGGCUCGCCCGCAUCUACGCCGAGGAGCACGGCGCCACCACCCUCUACACCACCAAUGGGGUCGCCGCUGAACUUCGUCGACACGCCGACCACGUCGAUGCGUGGCACGCCGCAGACCGAGCCAUGCACGGCGGCUGCGAUGAGGGAGAUAUGCUGGGCCACGCCGCCCACACAUGAUGAUGGGCGCGAUGUUGACUCCGGACCUAUACGGUACCGGCGCAUGUCGUGCGUCUUCGACGAGGCUGAAGAUGAGGCCAUUCGAGAAGAACUCGAGCUCUGUCUGCUCAUGGCGGAGGAUCCGUGUGAGAUCACGUAGGCUCUGAAUGACGGCGCAUGGUAGGUGGCAAUGGACACUAAGACGGCAUCCAUUGGUGAGAACAACACCUGGGAACAUGCUCACUUGCCGGCCGGCCACAAAGCCAUCGGUCUGAAGUGGGUGUAUCUCGUCAAGUGCGACCCCGACGGCAACAUCGUCAAGUACAAGGCACGUCUCGUGGCAAAAGGGUAUGUGCAGCGUGAAGGUGUGGACUUCGAGGAGGUCUUUGCACCAGUGGCACGGAUGGAGACAGUGCGGCUACUCCUCGCGCUCGUCGCGCACUCCGGCUGGGAGGUGCACCAUAUGGAUGUAAAGUCCGCCUUUCUUAAUGGUGACCUCGCUGAGGAAGUGUACGUGGCACAACCGUCGGGGUACGUCACCUCCGGUAAGGAGCAGCAGGUUCUUCGGCUCAGAAAGGCACUCUACGGGCUGCGACAAGCUCCGAGGGCCUGGUACGCGAAGCUAGACGAGACCAUGUGCAUGCUUGGGUUCACGCGCAACCCACUGGAGCAUGCCGUGUAUCGCCGCGGUGAUACACACUCAUUUCUGCUAGUGGGUGUGUAUGACGACGACCUCAUCAUCACCCGCACCAGCAAGACUUCCAUCGACGAGUUCAAGAAUCAAAUGCAGGAGCUAUUCAAAAUGAGCGAUCUCGGUCCCUUGAGCUACUAUUUGGGCAUCGAGGUAAUUCAAUCCAAUGAUUCUAUAACCUUGUGUCAGAGGACCUAUGCAGAGAAAAUUCUUGAAGCUGCUGGAAUGGAAGGGUGCCAUGGAUGUCACACCCAUGGAGUGCCGGCUCAAACUGAAGAAGGAUGAUGAUGCAAAACCUGUCGAUCCUUCUCCGUACCACAUCAUAAUUGGUAGCCUGAGGUACUUGGUGCACUCAAGGUCGGACAUCACACAUGUGGUUGGGGUAGUGAGCAGGUUUAUGGAGAAGCCCACUGCCACUCACUAGACAGCCGUGAAGCAAAUUCUUCGGUAUGUGAUAAGUACAUUGAGCUAUGGAUGUUGCUACCGGCGGGGAUCAGGCAAGACUCAACUUGACGAAUUCAGUGACAGUGAUCACGCCUGAGACGUCGGAGAUCGUAAGAGCACCUCGGGUCAGAUCUUCUUUCUUGGUGAGAACACUGUGUCAUGGACCUCUUAGAAGCAAAAGAUUGUGGCUAUCAGUUCUUGUGAGGCGGAGUACGUAGCAGUGGCGGUGACAACAUGUCGAGGUCUCUGGCUGAGUCGUCUUCUCGCAGAAAUGAGAGGGGAAGAAGCCAACACUUUCAAGCUUCUAAUGGACAACAAGUCUGCUAUUGCACUUGCGAAGAAUCCCGUUCAUCACGACCGCGGCAAACAUAUUGAUGUCAAGUUCCACUUUAUCCGAGAUUAUGUUGAAAAGAAGGAGGUGCAAAUCGAUCAUGUUGGCACAAAUGAUCAGGUUGCUGAUGUGUUGACGAAGGCACUGGGUCGGGUGAAGUUCAUCGAGCUACCAUAGAUGCUUGGAGUGAAGGAGGUCAGCAAAGGACGUUGAGCUUAGGGGGAGAAAUGUUAGACAUGCUAAGCUCAGGUCAUUAGGCUAGUUUUCUGCUUACAAUAAAUAUUGCAUGACUGCUGAUGUGACACUUCCAUGGAGCAUGCAUGUAGUAGAUGGAGACGUGGUGCAUGCAUGAUCUCUCUUUCGAUUCUUUCUGUUAUUCUUAACCCGGUCAGCGUGGCGUGUUUGUGCAUCUGGAGGUCAUGGGAUGGCGCGGCAAAUCCGGAUCACAGCGAGCUAGCCGGGGUAGUUGGUAGUUUUCUUGUUUGUAACAGAUAAAAGAUCAAGCAAAGAGUAGAAAACGCUGCGCAGUUACGGCAGCACCAAAAACUACUCGUCUCUCCCACGUUCGUCUCUCUCGCAAGUUCUCUCUCUCUCUGAUCCGGCGACAACAAAAUCCUGCACCCAACUUUUUUCUCCAGGAAUUGCACCUAACUUAUUUGCAUACACAAGUUUUUUCUUGAUAUUGCGUGAAUGUUCUAAUACAUAUGCAAGUAGAAAACAAAAAUGGAGGAGCAAGGAGGAGAAUUGCGAGGCUUGCACGCACGACAACAAUGAACUAAUCUUUUUAGUUUCGUGAUGAUGCACAUCACCUCGUCCCUUCCAAAUUCGCCUUGAGAAUGGGAUGUGGACUAUGUAUCAUACACAAAAGACACUUUACUUAAUAGUUCCAUUGUUGUGAUCCUACAAUUAAGAUGUAUUAAACUUACCAAGUCAGCCUUAACUGAUUGCAUUAUGCCAUCAAAGUCCACUCCCCAUUUCUCAGCCAAAAACCAUAGACAUCAACAUAUCAGCACAACCCCAUACACCCAGACUCCAAUUUAUAAGAGAAGGCCAGAUUACCUGCACAACAAGCUCAAUGCCUCAAAGAUGCUUGUUCUCUCUUUCUAGACGGUCCUCCCUAAAGACUGCACACGAUGUGAGAACAUCAUCCUUUUAGACGUAUUCUUUGCCUUCUCUGCUUUGCUAAAUACUCCCUUCGUUCUAUAAUAUAAAAGUGUUUUUGACACUACAUUAGAGUGAAACACGCUCAUAUAUUAUGGGACACAUGGAGUGACUCAUUAGCAAUUCCAACUACGGUUCGCAUCUACAUUGCUACAAACAAUAUAGAAUAGAUAUAUACAUUACUUGUAUCUACAGUUUUAUACAUUACUUGUAUGCAAGAAGGAGGUAUAGUAUAAGCAUUGCUUUUAUUAAUAAAUGCAAAGUGUAACAUACAAUACAUCGAUCAAACAAUUCUAUAUUUGGCCUACACUGGCCAUACCUAGCAAGAAUCAAGAUGGUAAUUAGGAGCUCUCUCUAAAGAAACUAACUCGUGUGUAGGUUUAUUAAGGCCCUGUUUGGAACCACUCAGAUUAUAUAAUCCGAUUUUUAUAAUUUAUUAUGUCUCCAAACAGGACAAGUUAUAUUGCAGUUUAUAAAAAUUAGAUGGUCAGAUUAUUAAAAACUAAUAAUCUACUCUACCCCAGCUAAAAUCAGAUUAUGGAUUACUAAUGACCCAUUACCCUUGAAAACUUGGAGAUAAUUACCUAGUGCCACUGCCACCAUCCUCCAAACAUGCCCACCUAGAUUAUUACCUCUGCAGCUAAAAAACAAAGGACAGACAUGUCAUUGUACAAUAUAAAACCUGGAUUACAGUUUAUAUAAUCUGGCCUCCAAACAUGUCCAUCUAGAUUAUUUUUAUAAACCAGAUUAUAUAAUCUAUCUUCAUAAUCAAGAUUAUUAUAAUCUAUUGUGAUUUCAAACAGGGCCUAAUAUCUGUUACAACUUUCUCAUCCAUAAAUUGAGGGACUUGUUCAAGUUUUUUAUGGCCAUCAGGAGGACAUACCAAUUGGAGAUAAGUUCCUUUUCUCAUGUAGCGUAGUAUCUAGUUAUGAAGUGAAUAAAAAAGAAAGAGGAGAUUGUAUGGUAGAUUCGUAGUAUAAUUAAUUGCAGAAAAGAUUGCCUACUGCUGCACUAAACGAAUUGAACCAAUAAUGGGUGAAAUCAAUCCUAAAGUUGCUACUGUAGUUGUUAUAAAGCAUAAAACAGUACCUUUAUGUCACAACUAACUUAGUUUAGAAAGAAAAAAAAACAAGAUCACCCGUAUAGCAAGACACGUGCCAAACUAAAAUUAUGAACUGCCAACAAAUCAUAGCCAACGAAUCGUGCGCAAAAAAAGUAUAAUACGGAAAUAGUUUACGACUAGCUCAAUCACACUAGACCGAAAGGAAAAAAGGUACUUGAGGGGCAUGAUUGAGACGAGGAGAGAAGGAAAGGCGGGAGAAGAGGUUGAUACCGUGGCUUUAAGAUGUAGGCGAAUGGGGACUGCGAGGGCUAUGUGUGACCCGAUAGCUCAUAUACAACGCAUAGGUCACUCGCAAGCGAGAUAGCAUGCACGUCCGAGCUCCUGAUCCAGUGUAUGGGCCAGCCUAUUUUGCGGUUUAUCCCCCAGCAGGUUAUUUUUGUUUUCUCUACCUGUUUAAUAUUUUUUCUUUUUCUUUACUUUUCUAUUUUUUAUUUCUCUUUAUUUUUCCUUUUUUCUUUUCUUUUUUCCCUUUCGUUUUUAUUUCCUUUUCCCUUUUCCUUUUUUUCAUUUUCCUUUUUCUAUUUCUUUCCUCUUCAAUUUUUUCAUUUUUUGCGAUUUUUUCUUUUCAAAUUCAUGAACUUUUGUUCAUCAAAUUCAAAAAUGUUCAACCAUGUAAAAAAUGUCAUAGGAUUUAAAUAUAAUUCAUAAUUCAACAUUUAUUCAUGAAACUACAAGAUUUUCAUGAAAAUCUAUUUUUGUUUGCAAUAUACAAAAAAAUCACAAAAUUCAAAAGUUGUUCACUGAACUAAAUAUUUUUUCAUCAUUUUUCAAAAAAAAAUUGAAUUCAAAUUUUACUCAUCAUGUUGAAAACAUAUUCAUCGAAUUCAUAGUUUAUUCAUAAAAUAGAACUAAUUUUUCAUAUGUAUUGAAAAGUGCUCGAAACAAUUUCACCAAAAUAAAAAUGUUCAUGAAUAUUAUAACAAAUGUUCAUUUUCUGAAAUGGCGGAAAGUUUUUUAUUCAAGAACUGUUUUUAACAAUUCACAAUGUUUUUCAAUUUUUUGAACUUGUUAUAAUCCCGGUUUUUUUAACAUGGAAUGAAACAAAAACAGAAAAUAAAAAUGGAAAAAUGAAAUCUAAAACAAAAACAAAAAAACAGGGAGCACCCUCCCGCGCAUGGCCGGUCCAACAGGGUGCUGCCCUGACUGGGGCGCCUCACUCUCCAAAUAAUGGUUUCCGUCUCGAGCAACUUGUUACCGAGCACUCCUUUGGGAGCCUCCCAACGAUAACCCUCGCGUGCUGUCACUUGGCACGUUCUCAGCCGCCGCCACGUGUCACGCUCUGAACAUUUCCUUCGUAUUUUGCUUUUUUCUUUUUCGCAUGUGUUUUUGGUUUUUAGAGUGGUUUUUUAGGUGUUUCGGUUUUUCACCGGUCUAUCGUAAUUUUUGGACGAAAAAAACAUUUAAUUUUUUUCGCAAAAAAACCGCGUUUUCUGUUUCUUUUUACGGAAAAAACAUGUUUUCUCUUUGUUUUGCGAGAGGGACGGCUUUGCUUCCGCGAGAGGCACGGCCGUGCCUUUCGGAAAGAGAAAAAAAAACACGUUUUCUGUUUUUGUUGUGAGAGGGACGGUUUUGCUUCCGCGAAAGGCACAGUUUUGCAUUCGCAAGAGACAUGUGCCUCUCGGAAAGGAAAAAAAAAUUGCUUUCUGUUUUCUUUCCCGCGCAAGGCACGGUUUUGCUUACGCGAAAGGCACAGUUUUGCUUUCGCAAAAGGCACGCCCGUACCUCUCCCGAAAGGAGAAAAACGUGUUUUCUGUUUUUUUUUGCGAGAGGCACGGUUUUAUUUCCGCGAAAGGCAGGGUUUUACCUUCGUGACAGGCACGCCCGUGCCUCUCCUGAAAAGGAAAAAAAACACGUUUUCUACUCUUUUUUUUUCCGUGAGAGGCACGGGUUUGCUUUCACGAGAGACACGGUUUUGUCUUUGUGAAAUGCACGACCCGUACCUCUCGCAAAGGGGAAAACGUGUUUUAUGUUUUUUUUUCUAUCGCAUGAGACACGGUUUUUUCGUUCAAUUUUUUUCUUCCGGUUUUUUUCGUGAAAAAAAGUUCGUCAAAAUCUAUCAACAUGGAAUCUAGUUCUGAAGAUCUCGACGCGAGAAAGCCCAUGGUGAAAACGGUUCGAGAUUUGUACGCACGGUUUAAGAGAUAAAACGUUUUAAAAAUAUAGAUCUACGAAAAAAGAAAAAAACUCCCUCCUUGCGAUAAGUGGCACGCAUGCAAUGCGUCAUUUGUCGCAACCUAUGAAAAUGGGAGUAAUUGUUGAAAGAUGUACUCGCUAACUAGUGAUUUCGUCGUCUCACCCAUAGAUUCGAGCUCCUAUUUACCGCCUUGUGAUGUCGCUUCGUACAGGACGCGCCCGACUGGGCCAGCCCAUUGGGGCUGAACCGGAGUUAGCGUUCGGGAGGAAAAUGCUGAAAAAAAGGUAUUCAGAUUGCAGAUCUCGUGUUUGUGCAUUCAACUGGCUCGCCAGUUCAACUACUAAGUGUUGUUAACAAAUACAUAGCACGAGCUUUAUAUAUAACUAACAACAACAGCGUAAAUUGCAGAUCUUUUGGAAUUUUGAAAAAUUCUUAAAUGCGAACGUCUUUAAAACUUUUAGAACAUUUUCCAAAACUCGAAUUUUUUUUGAAAUGCGAACUUUUUCUAAUUGGUGAAAUAAUUGAAUAUGAAAAAAAAAUGAAAUCCAGAAUAAUUUUUGAAAAUAUGAAUUUUGGUUAAAGUGUCUAAUAAUUUUUAAAUAACAUUCAGAACAUUUUUUGAAAAUAUCAAAAAAAUUUGAAAACAUGAUUUUUUUUAAAUUUGCGAACAAUUUAUGAAAUGUGAAUGAUUUUUAAACUCUUCUAGAAAUGGGAACAUGAACAUUUUUUAAAACAGCUGUGAAAUAUUUUUCAAAUCAGGAGCAUUUUUCGAAAUACCAAACACAUUUUGAAAAAUCUGUGAAAAUUUUCACAUUACAAAUAUCAAACGAGUACAUUAUUUUAAAUUACAAACAAUUUCUAAAAUGUCCCGAAUAUUUUCGGAUAUAUAGGAACUUUCUUUAAAUUGUGAACAAAUUUUACAAAACCUGAAUUAUUUUUGAAUUAACGAACAUAUUUUGAAAACAUGAACAUAUUUGGAACUUGUGAACAAAUUUGGAAAGCUAGAAUAAUUUUUGGAAUUUCAGAACAUUACUUGAAUUUUCGAUAAAUUUUCACUCUUAUUUGUGCAGAUAAUUUGAAAGUGGCAAAAAAUUUAAAAAUAAUUCGGUAACAUGAAGUUUCUGAAAUUUGUUAACGUUUUCAAACAUUAUUAAAGUGGAAACAUUUUUUAAAACUCCCGAACGUUUUUUGAAUUGGUGAAAAAAUUGAACAAGUUUUGGAAUUUAUGAACAAGGUUUCAAUUGUAUACAAAAAUAAAAAACAAAACAUUUUCAAAAAUCAGAAACUUUUUUUUGCAAAUAAUGACCAUUUUUUAACAGAAACAUUUUUUUGAAAUUCCAGAACAAAAGUUAGAAACACGAACACAUUUUGAAACUUCCAAACAAAAUUAAUGCACAAAUAUUUUAAAAUGUGCGAACAAAUGCUCUUCAGAAAUGAACAUUUGUUUCUGAAUUACCGAAUAUUUUUGAUAUGAAAUGAACCAAUUUUGAACUUCUUCUUUUUGUGGAAUUUAUGAACAAAAUUUGAAAACGGCAGUACUUUCUUUAGAAGUGAACAAAAAUAUAACAGUUCGAACAUUUCUUCGAAACGGAAAUUAAAUUUGCGAAAGAAAAAUGAAAAUGAAUAAAAAGAAAAAAGUAAAGAAAAACGAAUCAAAAAGGGAAAAAAAGGAAUUAAGAAGAAAAUCAAAAAAGGAAAUCAAAAAAGGAGAACAUAUUUUUUAAUUCAAUAACCUUCUAGAAGUUUCCAUAAUUGUAAAAAACAGGCUGGACAUCUGUAGAAGAUUCACAAAACUGAAAUAGUAGCAACCACUAACGGGCCAGCCCGUAUCACGACGAUCGUCCGUGAACCUUGUGCGAAACCUCGAUAGCUUGGCGCGACAUGCCUUUUAUAGAAUUUUCCGCAAUUCCUAAUAAUAAUCGCCUGGGUUGCUCCUUGCUUCCGCUCUCUCGCGUCAGUCGCUGUGUUUGAUUCUAUUUUUCUUUUGUUUUGUUAUUUUUUUUCUCUGGAUUUCUAUAUUUUUCUUCUCGGUUCUUCAGCUUUUCUUUUUUCUUCAUUAUAUUUGAGUUUUCUUUGCUUUAACGAUUUCCUUCUGUUUUUCUUUUUUUCUUCAUACUUUUCUUUUCUUUUUUUCUUUCUUCGGUCCUUCAGAUAUUUUUUUAUCCUUCAAUUUUCUUUUUGUUUCUUUGUUUCUUAAUUCAUUUACACUUUUUCCAUAGUCAUCUUACAUUAUAUAUAUAUAUAAAAUAUUAGUUUAUAUAUGAUUAAAAAUAUUAAAUACACAUUAAAUAUUUAUCAAGUAAUGAAAACAUUUUUACCUUCAAAAAUAAUUUUCUAAAUUGUACAGUUUUUAUAUAAAAAUACAAGAGUACAUUUACGAAACAUGUGAAGAUUUUUAAUAACGUGACUUACUUUUUUUAAAUAUGUGUCAUAUUUUUAUUGUCACAAACAUUUUUUAUACAUAUGAUACAAUUUUCGGGAAUACCAUAUACAUUUUUCAACUUUUACGUUUACAUUUAUACCUUUUUGAAAUAUAUGAGAAUUUUUUUCCUAUACAUGUUUAAUAUUUAUGAAAUGUAAAAUUAACAUUUUUCAAAACAUGCUUAACAGUUGUUAAAUGUGACUUACAUUUUUUUUACAUUUGUAUAAACAUUUUUUGAAGUGUAACUUACUUGUUUUAAAAUUAUCGCAAACGUUUUUCAUAUAUAUGGUUAACAUUUUUCAUAUAAACAAUAGACAGUUCUAGUUUAUUCAUUUUUCAUAUACAUCGGAAGCAUUUUGCUAUACACGUUUACAUUUUUUAAUACCAGAUUAAAAAAAUCUACAUUUGAAGUUAAGUGUCUUUGUAUACGUACUCCUUCCGGUUUUUUUACUCUGCGUAUAAGAUUUGUCCCAGGUUAAGUUUUACAAAGUUGACCAAAUUUAUGUUGAAAAAUAUCAGCAUCUACAAUACUGAAUAUAUAUAGUUUGAAACUACAUUUCGUAAAGAAUCUAAUGAUAUAUUUUGGUAUUGUAAAUGUUGAUUAUUUUUUUCUGUUUUGUUAGGUCAAAGAAGAGAUACUAUGAAUUUAGAAAAAAAAAUUAUAUGCUCACUAAAAAGAAAUGGAAACAAUAUGUGUGGAUGUAUGUAAUGAUCCGAAAUAUAAACAAAACAAAAAAGUGAAGAAAAAUGAGAAAAUACGCUUGAUGUCUGCAUAAGCGGACUCGCCUCUCGUGCGCCGCUUAAAAAGGCUAAUUAGCUUAGCAAACAGGCCAUGAAAACGAUUUUUUCCUACCAAACUUAUGAGGCCCGCAAGGCCUACUAACGAAGUCACCUCAUGGCGAGAACAAAGCAGAAAACAACUGCAAUAGCUGAUAGGUUGUCGGUAAUUUGUCAUCAGGCGGUCGCUUGCUGCUAAUUGCACCACCCCAACGCUCGCCGUUGCUUGCGCCACCGAUGAGAUGUCGAGUAAGUUUCAAGAGGUGUCUUCAAGGUGGAGUAGUGGACUAGAUAAAAAGUUCUUAUAACUCAUGAGCUUACAUGCGUGCAUUUCAAGAUGGGAAUGGAUCGGUUUGGCCUGCUAGGACACUCACAUAACCGAAAAAGUCAAGGCCAAUGGACCAAGCGGGUUGACCUUAAAUGAUAUAUGGGUGGACGGAGCCGGCAACAUGCGACAUGUUGGGUCGGGCCGACCAAGUCCUUGUGUUUGUCAAAUACAAGACAUGCGAGGAUACUAAGAUUAUAUGGACUAUAUCACAGCUCCUUAGCUUGAUGCUUUUCCAUGUAGCUCAUCCCAACUAGUUGCAGCUCGUUGGUCAUCUCUUGGCUGAGUACUCUUCUAAUGAUUAUUCGACCAUCUUCACGUGAAGUGACAUUCAUAAGCUACAAAGGGCCUAUGGUUUUGAGACUUUUUUACAUUUACUCGAGGAAGAACUACUCUCUCUGUUUCUAAAUGUAAGUUCUUUUAGAGAUUUCAUCAAGGGACUAUAUACGGAGUAAAAUAAAUGAAUAUAUACUCUAAUGUAUGUCUAUAUACAUUCGUAUGUAGUUUUCUAGUGAAAACUCUAAAAAGACUUAUAUUUAGGAAUGAAGGAAGUAGAAAGUAAGCAAAAAAGAGUUCACCCCUUACUGUUAAUAAAUAAAUCAAUCCGUCUCUUACUCUAACGGGAGUGUAGCUAAGGAAGUCCAUGCCUCACACACACGAACACAUGCUAGAAUCAUGGCUCCCAUGUUCAUCCUAAGGCCUAUAUUUGUAGCGCAUGAUUGUCUAAUAAUCACUAUUUCUUGAGGUCUUUAGCUUGAUGCUCUUUCAAAACUUUAAUCUUUCAAUAUCAUCAUUUUACUGGAUGUGAAAAGAUUGGAUAUGUGGAAAGAUAAGAUCUUGUCAUUUUAUAGGAUUAUGUAAAUAGAGUUGUACAUGUGAAUUCACUGGAUUUUGGGUCGGCCUCAUGUACCCAAUGGGCGAGUGAGGCCACAAAUUUUUGAUGAAAUGGGUCGGCCCAUGGCCUCACAUAUUGAUCUAGGGGACAUAGGGGGCAGGUCCAUGGCGAGGUUCAGGUCGACCCAUUCCCAUCCCGAAGUGCAUUGGUUGCAAUAAAAAAGGCUAAAUUGUCCGACUUGACUUUGAGGCGAUUUCCGACGAUUGUCCGCCGACUGAUGUACUACCGUAUCAUCCCCUCCCCUUCUCUCUUGGAUCUCCUCUCUCCUCUCUCACACACUUCUCCUCUUGAUCCCCUCCACCUCAUCUCCUUUCUGCAACCCCUUUGUCCCUCUCAUUGUCAUGCCCAUCUCAAUCCCCUUUUUUCGUGUUCUUCCCUGCCGUUGGGAUAUGGUUCUUGGGUUGCUUCGAUCCUCCCCGUUGCGUUCAUAGUUGUCUCCCUCUACUCACAGGAAAUGAUAGGGGUCGUUGUAAUAGAAGAGGUUUCCACUUUAUUGGGUCCUGCUGAUUUUAAGAACUCAUGGUCCUUUGGAGCACAUGAAUCAAAUUUAUCCUAUUGUGAUAUCGGCUAGGGGAUUCCUCGGAUUGGCUCCAUGAAGUUUAUCGACUGGAACUCUCGAAGCAUGGGCCGAAGCCUUGGCAACAAUCUCAUGAUGUUCAUGGCAAAUCUCAUCUGCUCCACAAAAGCUCAAGUAGUUUUUAUUUCUGAACUUAGAUCCUCUAAGGUCAAAUCUCAAGAUAUUUUGAAUCGAUUCGACAUAUCGAAUAUUAUAGUUGUUCCUUUGAGAGGAGCCUUGGGAGGGUUAUGGUUGAUGUGGAAUGAUGAGAUGCAAGUUUCUGUUUAUAGUGCCUUUUUUCUUGUUAUUUUAGCUAAUGUUGUGCACACGGCCUGGGGUAUAUAGUUUGGGUUAGUAUGCAUCUAUGGUGACCCAUUUCAAGCCUAGCAUUAUUGCCUUGGGUAUAUAGUUUGGGUUAGUAUGCAUCUAUUCUAUUAAGGAUGAAAGUGAUGUGAUCCAUUUCAAGCCUAGUCUUAUUGCCCACUUUGUGGAUUAUUUCACAUUCAUUUCCGCCUCAAAUAAUAUGCAAGUUUGUGCACCUUCCCUUGCUACCCAACAUGUGACUAAUUCUGGAGAUCCUACAUACUCAAUUCCAAACAAACAUGAAGUCUUAGGGAUUCUUAAAGAAAUGGAGUUGAAUGCUUCACUUGGUCGUGAUGGCUUCAACCUUGAGUUUUACCUUCCUACAUGGGAUUGGAUUGGUGAUGAGGUCAUUUAUUUAGUUUUUAAUUUCUACAAAAGAUGCAUCUUUCCUCCCCACAUUAGUGACACUAAUAUAACACUUAUUCCCAAGAACUUGGUCCCUCAUGUUCCCAGUGAUUAUAGAUCUAGUAGACUUUUUAAUGUUAGUGUGAUUUACAAGAUCAUUGCUAAAUCUCAAUAUAAUAGGCUCAAACCUCAUCUUCCUGAUUAUAUAGAUCCUGCUGAGUAAGAUUUUAUUAAAGGUCGCAUAAUUAGUGAUAACAUCAUCAUUUCUCAAGAGAUCACUCAUACUUUUGUGAUUUGAUCUUUGAAACAUCACGCUCUCAUGCUUAAAAUUGAUCUUGCUAAAGCUUUUGAUCGUAUAGAGUGGAAUUCCAUUAUCUCUGUUGUUGCUCGUAAAGGGUUGCAUGUACAUUUCAUUAAUUUGAUAUAUGCUUGCAUUUCUUCUCCUAAUUUCUUUGUCAUCGUCAUUGAGCAGCCUUCACGUAAAUUCAAAAAGUCAGAGAGGGAUUCGAUAAGGUAUCCCUUUGUCCCCUUAUCUUUUUGUGCUUGCCAUCAAUGAAUUGUCUCUUGCUCUUAAUGAUACCCUGUUUGCUAAUCAUCUUCAUGGUAUUAUUCUUCAGCCAAAUUGUCCUCCUAUCCACUCUCUUCUCUUUGUAGAUAAACUUAUGGUUUGUGGACAAGCCACUUUGCAAGAAGCAACAUUCAUGGUGCAAAUAAUCCAAAAAAUUAUGUUAUGUCAGGUCAGACAUUAAGUCCAAAUAUGAAACUUUAUGCAGUACCCAUGUCAAUCAUGCUAUUAUUGAUGAUAUUAAAUGCAUUUUUCCAGCCCCUAGUAUGGAUAACAAUUUCACUCACUUGGGCCACACACUCAUUCUUCCUGCUAAGAAUAUAGUUUUUUUCUUAAUUAUGUUCUUGAUAAACUUUUAAAAAAACUUCAUACUUAUAAAGCUAAUAUGAUUUCUCAUAUUGAUCGGUUGGAACUCAUUAGAUCUGUUUUCUCUGCCAUUGUUGUAUACUAUACGUCUACCGUCUUGUUCACCAAAAACAUUAUUGCUAAUAUCACUUAUAUUAUGAUAAUUUUUGGUGGACAGGAAGCAGAGAGAACAAUUGAACUUAAAGCAUUUGCCUCGUGGCAUGGAAAGAUAUUUGUACCUCCAAGAAAGAACGGGGGUUGAGCGCGAGAAUUCUUCAAGCCAUUAACGUAGACCUCAUCCUUGUUGCUUCUUGGAUAUUAGCAAUUCUCUCUAAUAACAUUUGUAUCUUGUGCUCAAAUCGAAGUAUUUUUUUGCAUUUGUCUAUUUGGACCAUCGUUUCUACUAUUCCAAAACCUGCUUUUGAUCUUCUUUUCUUAUGAUGCUUCCUAAAUUAAAAGCUCAUUCUUUCUACCAAGUUAAUCAAGGGGCAUCUAUCUUUGUAAUACUCUCUCGUGUUCUCCAUGGGCCACUAUUCACAAUCAUCUCAUUAUCCAACCCCAUGGCUUCAUAUAUCCUCUUAAGGUUAAGGAUCUCUAGCUUCUAUGACAAAAAACUUGGAAUGACACUCUUAUUCACACUCUCUUUCAAGAACCUUUGGCCUUUAUUAUUACUCAAACCUCUAUUAUUAAUGAUAAUAGUCCUCACAUUCUCUGUUUGGAGCCAAAUGGAAAAUGUACUUCAAAAGUCUACUUACAAAUUGUGUUUACAGGAUAUCAAUCCCCAUCCAAGAAAUGCUCCAUGUCAGAUUUGUUUGCAGGUUAAAGACCAUCUCAAGCUAGUUUGGAAGAAGAAAUUGAUGGCAGCCCGAGUCCAAACUUUUGCUCGGAGGUUUUUGCGAAAAUCUCUUCCCACAAGUUUGAGGGUUGGACUUUUCCAGUUCAUGUCUCCAAAUCAUGUUGUCGAUGCGGUAAGGAUGAAAAUAAAAUGCAUCUUUUUUUUUGCAGUUUUAUUUGAGCGGUUUGGUUUGCUCACCCAUGGUAUAUUAAAACUGAUAUUUUUGUUCAAAAUCAAUCCUCUAUGCAAAGUAUUAUUCUUAUCCUGCUUAAUAUGAAUCGUCCCAAUGCAUUUGUUCCUAACAUUCUAAAUUUUAUGUGGUUCUUGUUGAAAGUGAAAAAUCAUUUUCUCUUUGAUAGGCAAACCUAUUCUCCUCAUAAUAUUCAUAUGGCAGAUGCCUGAUAAUGCUUUGACUAACUAGAGUAGUUAUAUAUUGGAUUUCUCUAAUCAAAAGCAGUAUGAUGUUCAAACUAGAUCUCUAGAUGCUAUAAAUGGAAUACCUUCUCAAGGCCAUACUUUGUAGAUUGAUCUUCUUAUUACAUGAGCUAAAGUUUUCUAUGAUGCAACUUUUAAAUGUACAAAAAAUCUGGAUCAUACUCGUGGAGCAACAACUACCGGUAUUAGAGUUUUUCUCAAACUUUUCCAGGAUAAAAAGAAGUGAAUGUGAAGAUUCAAGCCUCUACUCCAAUCACCACCUCGUCUCUUCAAGGAGAGGCUCUUGCCCUUCUCCUUGUUAUCCAGGUCGAUCAUUGACUUAGGAUAUCUCGUCAUACAUUUCUUAUUCAUUGCUUGUAUUUGGCAAAAGAAGCGGCAGAUAUAAACAUUAUGGUUGUUUAUACUCCUUGGACUAUCAGAAAUAUUUUGCCCGAGUUCUUCUCCUAUACACAUGAUCUUCACUCGUAGGUGAUCCAUAUAUCUAAAGAGAUAAACGAUAUAGCUCAUAAUGUUGCUCGCCAGGUUCUCAGGAGAGAUAACCAUAUUAUCAAAGCGGUUAACUCCCUCAAUAAUCUUUACCGAGGAAAGUUAUAGUUCUUUUGUAAACUCAUAUGAAUUUAUACUAAUGCAAUUUCUAAUUUAAGUCCAGCUAUCUUUCAUUUAUUCAUGGCAUAUAUCUUCUAUGGAUCCACUUAUUCCUUUUGUCAGAAUUUGGAUUUAAUAAACUCUUUUUACAACAUAAAUCCUAAGAAAAUAGAUCAAUUAAAAAAAAUAUACAAUUGGUCAUAUAAUCAUGGUUAUACAUAUAUUUUUUAUACUAGGGUCUUUACCCUCAAGAUAAGAGGGCUAACUGAACUAACGGAAUAUUUUUGUAAGGGUGUUAUUGAUGGAAUUACCAUUGGAGUAUGUCUUAUUAGUUUUUGUAUAGGAGAAGAAACUGAGGGCUUAUUAUUCUACAAGAUUUAGAGCACCUUUUCAUUCUUUCAUAUACUUGGGGUUUUUACUUAGAAAAUACAACAUUCCAUACUAAAGGAUUCGGGUCCAUAACCACGAGUUCGAGUGCACUAGAUCUUGUAGCACUUCGCAACGAGGCCCUACCCAUUAGUAUUCCACAUAAUAAAGCCAUUCUAGAAAAAUAAAAAACAAUUAUAUUAGCUCUUCAUAGAUAAACUUGGGGUUUGCGAGCCAAGCUAAGACCAGCUUGGGAUCGUGGGACCUUUUUCUAUUAGAUAGGAGGGCCUCUUGUAUAAAAUAGACUUACUAAGUAAUAACCUCCUAGAACGUAAAAUUUGUUCUUUUGCUUUAGCUCACAGGAAUAUGACAUGCCGCGUAGUUUCUGUUCUCUCUACUUUUAUUUUUAGGACUAUGUUCUUCAUGUUGUAAGAUGCUACUCACCGAUAUUGCAUGUUCUUGGAUUUAGUGUGAUGCCUUGUAGAAGAACACUAAGACUCCAGGAAUAUCACACGUGCGACAUGCAGAAGUUGAAGCUUUUGUUCAUUUGGUGGACUCCACAUCGACUAACAACAUCAUGAUAUAAGUCUACAUACUGCACGGCCUUUUACCUCUUCUGGAUGAAGCUGGAGCUCUCCAGUUUAUGACACCUGUUGCAAAUCUCUUUAAUUUGAGAAAAGUUAUUAUUCACACACACAAUUUGACUUUAGAUGCAUCUUAUCUCCUUCUGAAACAAGAUGGAUGGUUAGCCACAAUCUUCUUCUAUUUUCAGCUACACCAUACAAAUUUCUACACCAAACUUCCACGUAUACUAAAAUAUUUUAGGUGUAGCCUGCUAUGGUGGUCAUUGGGUUCUUACUCACUACUACUGGAUGGUCCAAAGACGACACAUCGAUCACAGACCCUUCGACAAAAAUGUGUGCGAUCCAUCAAUCUCAAAUGGUGUAGUUGCACCUUCAUCGCCAAUAAUGAAAAUUGUGUGCGAUGGCGGAUCCAUCAAAUACAAUUUAGAAAAGAAUUAUGUGUGCGAUACAUGACAUAUAGUUGUUCUUAUGAACUGUUUGCGACUAGCCAAGAUUACACUAACGGUUAACAAAAUACAUAUGUGUGCGAAGUACGACAUAUAGUUCACUCGGAUAAACUUUACUGAUCCAGCAGAACACAAAUGAGUUAGCAUAAGAAGGUGUGUGUGAUACCGGAAAAAUAGUUCAUUCAUCGAAAUUGUGUGGGAAGACCAAUAGUAACCCCAAACAAUUCAUCCUCACAAGUUGUGUGUGUCGUGGACAGGCGGUUGCUGCUACACAAUUGUAUAAGAUGUUAUUUGAUGUGUUUGCAAAACAUCUAUGCUAUGUCUACAAAACACCAACCUUGUUGCUUAACGAACUUGAACAUCCAAUUACAUAAGUGACUACACAACACAUGUACAUCCCUCAAUAUAAAUUUACAAGAAGUAGACGAUCAUCAAAUCGUGUUGUUGUUUUCACGACGGUUUCAGCCACUACUCUGCUUGUGGCUAUCCCCCGGCGUCUGCAUGAAGGAGGCAUUCCCUCAUGUCAACGAUCCUCAUGUACAUCUCGUAGCUUGUGUAUGCGUAUUUGGCCGCGUACUUGAUGUAUUCUUCAUCUAGUUCUUUCACCUAGGCCUUAUGCCAGACAUACUUGUCCUUGUCGCACUCAGCCUUCAUGUCUCUAUUGUAGGGGUCUAUGAUGGCCGCGGCAAGGUCAACCAGGGAAUCAUUCUGCUUCUUCUUCUCGCCGCUCCAAACCCUGUACUGACCUUGGAUGUUGACAAGCUUCUGGCAGGACAUGUCCAAAGUCUUGAGAACCUUUAGAUUGUUGGUGGUGUCCACUGUUGCGAACCUGUAGUGGGGGUUGUUGACAAACCUGGCGAAAAGCUCGCAAGGCCUUGUGCCAGGCAAUAGUGGUAGACGAUCACAUGAUGGCGCAUGCACAAUUGGGAGACGACAAAAUUUUGAUCAUACCUGCACGACCGUUGGUGUAUUCGAGGUUGAAGUCGACCACUUUGUACUUGUCAUCCUCAACAAGAAGUUGCUCCAUAGUGUCCAUGGAGUUCUCAACAACGACCGGGACGUUGGUGUACACUACUAAGAUGUCCGUCUUCCUACUGUGGUGUCGACUUUGACAAUAAUGGCGAACUAUCGCUCAAUGCCGGUAGCCGCCAUAGAAUCCGCGCGGGAAGGUUUAAGCGGUGAAGAGAUGUGCAUCCUUUCUCUGAUUGUCAUCAUGGGUGUGCUUCUUCUGUUGUGUGGCCCGAUAGGAAGGUGAAAGAGAUGAAGGUAAAUGCCCGCCGAAAAAAAUUGGUGGGCGCCGUGUGGCUUGGAAUUUUGGCACGUUCGCAUGACAGUUUUUGCAGCGCUUAACUGCAUGGUGGUGCAUGUAUAACUGCAUGAUGGUGCUUAGUGUAGCACAACGACAUGCAUAUGGCACCCCAAACAUACUUGAUCAUUCAUGCAUGGAGGGAUACCGACAAAGCGCGUGCGCACACAAGCAGAGCGUGUUGCGGCUGCCUCAACCUCCUCAUGCAUAGAGCAGUUCACGACAGUGCGUAUAGGAUGCUCCUUUGUUAUGUAAGAAAACACAGACACUUAUUAUUAUUAUUAUUUGUUUAUGUACUUUUCAUUUCUCCUUCCUCUAUGCCGUCUUAUCACCGCGUUGCCACCCGAUGAUUAGAGUGCAUGUUUGGGGAUCGCGCACGCGUUUCUUUUGGCCUUCCCGUUCCCGCGCAACCAUGCAGGAUCCCAUGCAACCUUCCCGCCGGGCUCACCAAAAUCCCCCAAAUCCCCAAUGCUUGGUCGCAUGCCUUCCUUAUAAACCCUCACGGAUCGCGACUCCACAUCGCAUUCAUCCCCUCCCUGCCUGUAGCUUCUAUAGUUUGCUUCUCCCUCAAACGCCAAUGGCACCUGUUCAUUGUUGUCACUCCGCCACUCCGCCAGAGGAAAACUCUAGCUGGGAGGUUGCACCAUGUUGGUGACAUAGUUCCCGGAAGCAUGUAGUGCACAUAGCGUCCUUGUUGGCAUGCACACGCCACCCAUCACACGCUCCGCCACCUUUGCCCAAAGGCAGCUGUUGCCUACGACCGCCAUGGCUGACACCCCAUUUUCGCCAACCGUUGUCGCCACCCCACUGGUGGUAGACUUGGCCGCCACCACACCAUCAUCUUCCUUGGCCACCACCCCAUCGUCAGCCAUCGGGGCCAUCACCCGCUCCGCCACCAUGGCCAGAAGGUGGAAGGAGGAGGACCCCUCCAAAGCCUAGCUGCUCCGUUUUGCGUCAGCGGCCUUGUACACUACAUCAACUUCCUACAUGAGAAGGAGGAGCACUAGGUCAAGCACGCAAAGAGGCUCACCGUCGUCGUGGUCGUAGCAGACAUCGCAGCUGUGGCGUGGAAUGAGGAGAUCUAUGUCGAGUCCUGCCACUUCGUGGAGGUGCACUAGGAGCGUCUGAGGGCAGUGGCGGCAUGCGAUGAAGUCGACUCCUCCAGCUCGUUGGUAGGCUCCUCCUCCUCUUCCUCUUAUUGAAUGCGCUCGGUAGAGGAGAGUAUAUUGGAAGGAAGUAGUACAAAGCCCCUCCGUAGUAGUAUUUCGGGGCUAUUUUGUUCAGUUCAUCUAACUAUAUAUAUGGUUGAACUGUACCACGUACUUUCAAUUAGCUAGUAUAUAUAGUUGAACUAGCUGUUUCAGUAUGUGGUUGUCAACAACUGGGAAAAUGUUUGUUCGGUGUAGCUAUUGAGUUGAACUAUUUUUACAAAGAUCACUCCUUAAUCUUUGAAUGAAAUCCAAGUUUACUAAAUUUCAGUUGCAAAAUUGUAUCGUAAUAGUGAUUUUGUUCCUGCAAAAUUUGAUAAAUGUAGUGUUAUAAUGAUGUUAAAUGUUAGUGUUACUAGAUCAACAAAUGCCAAUGUUUCCAAUUUGACAAAUGGAAAUUUACCCAAUAUGACAUAUGCAAAUCUAAACUCAUUGUAUGCACUAAGCACACGGGUCAUCAUACACAAAUGUUUGUGAUGACACAAUUAAAAAAAUAUGUCGUGUUAGAUUUUGAUGUGGCUUAGUUGCGAAGGAACCAAUGCCCUGUGUCUACAUACGGGUAUUCAAUCUGACAUGCUUGCAAUGACGGUCAUAGGACACGCAUCCCUGAUGAGCGCGUGUAGGACUGCUCGCACGCCUCUUAUCUACUCAAACACAUGUCCGCAUGCUACCUCAUAGCCAAUACAUAGUGGGACGUGUGGCAGCGCGUAAAUGAUUAAUAGAAUGUCCAUGGUUUAUAAAUAAUACACCCGUUUGUGAUGGUAAUCUUUUUGUUCCAAAAUGUCAUUGUUGCCUAUUAAUGUGUGUGCUUUUUCUCAAUCUGGACACGAAAAAUACCAUGACAUAUGUGUGCUAUAUGAUGAGGCCCUACCUAACAUAGACGUUGUGAGUGUAGUUCAAAUUUCAAUCAUGUACAUUAAAUGCACAGAAAACUCAAUUAGUGUAUAAAAAAGCCAAACGAACCCUAAAUAAUUUCAUAUUUUUGUAGUACGCAUCUAUUGGUCUAUGUUGUUUCUAGAAAAACAAAUAAGGAGGGAAGGUGCAUCGGAUGUUGUUUCACCCGUAAAUGUGACAUGCAUGUUCCCUAUCGGAACCACGUAGCUUGUUGUGAUAAGCUCCGGUUUCUAAGUGUCUUGUGCCAAUACUUGCCCAAGUUUGAUUUCUUACCAUGGCAUAUGUGUGCCGUGUCAUGACACCAUGCCAAGUUUCAUGAAUUUCUGACAAGUUUUGGAUUUACGAGAAUUUUAAAACCAAGUUUCUCAACGCUUGUGAAAGCACAAUUCCUCCCUAAGGUGGUUUUGAUAAUUGAUCACAACAUAUGUAUCAUUGGACUAAUGAAUUUAUUCAAGUAUAUUUCAGAAAAGUUCAAAGUUGCCUUCGCUAUAGGAUUGAGAGGAGAAGCCCCUUGAUGCAAGGAAGGAAUAGGAUUGGGUCAAGCUUCAAGCAAGACGACUCUUCAUUUUACAUUUGUGAGAAAUCACUUUGAGUCCAUAGGAAAGCGAAUACUAUUAAAAGGGGGUGAGGUAUUAUGAUGAAUUGGCUACUUAAGUGCUUAGAGGUAGUCACCAAAAAUACUCAGCAAAUCUCUCACGAGAUAUCUGUGUCCAAAUCCAAACCAGCAAAAUCGGUGCCACCAACUAUUUCCAUUCGGUCCUACCGAUAUUACACUUGACAGAUCCUAUGCCAAACCCUACCAUCUCGGUACCACCAACUUUCACAUAGGUGCCGCCAAGAUUCAGUGACCAAUUUCCUAUUGAGAAGAUUACAAGAAUCGGAAUUUCCGAGUUUGAAAUCGAUCUCACCGAGAUUUGGAAACUGGUCUAGGUCAUUGUAUCGAUACCACCGCGAUUCCUACAUCGGUCUCAUCGAGUUUGAAAGUUGCCACAUUUAGUGCAACUCGGUACCACAGAGAUUCAUUUCGAUGUCACCGUGUUGGGAACUAAUGUCGUAACGGUUGGAUUUUGGGGAUGCCUAUAUAUACCUCUCCACCUACCUCUCAUUCGAAGAGGAAGCACUCAAAACACACUUACACUUUCCAGAUCCAUUUUUCUGAUAGAGAGCCACCUACUCAUGUGUUGAGAUCAAGAGAUUCCAUUCCAACCAUUUGAACCUUGAUUUCUAGCCUCCCCAAGUUUCUUUCCACAAGAUCAAUCUCUCCUACCCCUGCCAAAUUGGAGAGAGAGUGACUGAGUGUUGAGGAGACUAUCUUUAGGAGCGCAAGAGCAAGGAGUUCAUCGUUCUACCACAUCUAUUACCUUUUGCAGGGUGGUGCCUCCUAGAUUGGUUAGGUGUCGCUUGGGAGCCUCCUAGUGCAUGUUGUGGAGUUGAACCAAGAUGUUUGUAAGGACAUGGAUAUCGCCUACUUCGUGAGGAUCUAUUGUGAGUGAGGCUAGUCCUGUGUGGACCGAAGCCCCAGUGGAAAAGACAAGGCCACUUCUUUGUAGAACCCUUGUGGGUGGAACCCUCAGUGGACUCUCACGACUGUUACCCUCCGUGGGUUGAAGUCUCCACUAACAUGGACGUACGAUAGCACCACCUAUCAGAACUAUACCAAAAAUCAUUGUGUCAACCUUUGUGUUUGAUCUCCCUACCGUACCCUCUACUUAACAUUUGCAUGUCUUACUUUCCACUGCUAUACUCUUAUAUGUGCAUGUAUGGGGUGAACUUGACUAGUCAUAAUUGCUAAAACUGGCCCACGACUAAAUUUGGAAAAGGCUAAGUUUUUAUCUUGUCAAGUAGUCUAAUCACCCCUAGACAUACUUUCGAUCCUACAAGUUGUCACGCCCAAGAUGCGACCCUAUCCUCAAUUUGGCACGAGGGCCUCGUCAGGGAUAGAAGCGCAUCGCGUCGUGUCGCAAGAAUGGAUAUCGUUACAAGUACAUGUACUGAAAAGAUGAGAUAUAUAUAAAGAGUUGGCUUACACUCGCCACAAGCUACAUCAGAGUCACAUCAGUACAUUACAUAAUCAUCAAGAGUAAGAGCAGGGUCCGACUACGGACGAAAACAAACGACAAAAGAAGAACGACGUCCAUCCUUGCUAUCCCAGGCUGCCGGCCUGGAACCCAUCCUAGAUCGAAGAAGAAGAAGAAGAAGAGGCAACUCCAAAUGAACAACCAACGCGCUCGCGUCAAAUAACCUUUACCUGUACCUGCAACUGGUGUUGUAGUAAUCUGUGAGCCACAGGGGACUCAGCAAUCUCAUUUCCAAAGGUAUCAAGACUAGCAAAGCUUAAUGGGUGAGGUAUGGUUAAGUGGUGAGGUUGCAACAGCGACUAAGCAUAUAUUUGGUGGCUAACUUACGAGUACCAGAAAUAAGAGGGGGAAGAUCUACGCAAAACGGACGUGUCUACUGAUGAUCAUAAGAAUGAUCCUGAACACCUACCUACGUCAGACAUAACCCCACCGUGUCCUCGAUCGGAGAAGGAACUCACGAAAGAGACAGUCACGGAUACGCACACAGUUGGCAAGUUUUAAUUAAGUUAACUUCAAGUUAUCUAGAACCAGGGUUAAACAAAGCUUCCACGUUGCCACAUAACCGCGGGCACGGCUUUCCGAAAGAUUUAACCCUGCAGGGGUGCUCCAACUAGUCCAUCACAAAUUACCACAAGCCGCAUAGAAAUCCUCAAUCACGAAGCUCGCGACCUCGUCGGAUUCCCUAGUGGAAAACCUCAACUCUGAGAUUACCCAAAGCAUCACCGGAAUCCCGAUGCACAAGAUAUCUCGUCAAAGGUAAAACUAAUCCAGCAAGGCCGCCCGACGUGUUAACGAUCCCGAUAGGAGUCGCGUACCUCGUUCUCAGGACAUGGCGGAUGAGCUAGACGUCGGGAUCGCUAAACCUCCGGGUGACCAGAGGGGCGCCGGACAUCGCUCAGGUGGGGCCAACACUCAUGAGGAGCACUGGCCUGGGGGUUGAUUAAAUUAUCCUCGGGGUCCGGAAAGUCCCUAUGCAAUUUUAUUAGGUGUUUAGGCAGAUGUAGUACCAAUGUUGGGCCUUGCCAGACCAGCUUUAAUCUAAAACGAAUUAUCAAGGGGGUCCCCAUAACAACCCCGAUUGUGUUAGGAGCGCUCAUUUAUGGAACAUAACACCGGUAGCCGAAACUAAGGGGGCAAAGGUGGAACAAAACACCAGGCUAGAAAGGCCGAGCCUUCCACGUUUUACCAAGUAUAUAGGUGCAUUAAAUUAAAUAGCAAUUAAUAUGGUGAUAUAACAAGGAACCCAUGCUUUCGCAUGGAAGCAUCUGCACCUGCAACUAGCAACGCUAACACAGGGUUAAGCAAGCGGUAACAUAGCCAAUCAGUGGUUUGCUAGGUCGAACAGGUUGAAGGUAAUCAUGGCAUUGUUGAGAGGCUGAUAUGUAACAGGUGGUAGGCAACGAGACAUAAUCGAUAGAAGCGAUUAUAUUAGCAUGGCAAUGAUAGUAAUGGUAUCUGGGGAAAUGAUCAUCUUGCCUGAGAUCCCGCUUGGAAGAAGAACGACUCCGUGAAGCAGACGAACCGACGUAGUCGAACGGGUCCUCACAAUCCGGCACGCGUGCGGAGCUCUAUCGAGGCGAAGCAAACCGGAAACACAAAUCAUCACACAGAAUUCACCACACGAUGCACAACACAUACGAUGCAUGAGCUACUGAAUACAUGCAAGUCACGGCAUGGCAAAUCACACAAUCAAACACUACACAUUAAGUGAAGUUCAAUAUGCACGAGUUGCAUAUUGACGAAACUCCACAUUAAUUAUUUAGUUCACUCCCGGUUAUCUACACGGCAAUAUUAAUGUUUUCAAACAUGCAAGAGGUGAAGCGGAAAUUAAACUACCUAUCUAGACAUUUUAAAUGAGGUCGGAAAUGACAUAUAGCACCUCCGAAACGACCUCACAUGUUAAUUUACAAUUCUGUCCAGAUCUGAAUUAACACCUUUAAUUAAUUGUUAAACAGCAAAACAAAUAGGUUCACGUGAUUCUACGCGUCAAGGCAAGCAAUCUACACAUAAGAACAUCUCCAACGGAGCUACGGUUUGAAAACUACAAGCAAAACAAGAAAACACUACAAGCUGCCAAAUCAUCCACAUAGCAUCUUCUACGCCCCACAACUAUGGCUACACAACUCCGAUUUGCUCAAGCCAGGCAUGGCACGAAGAGGGCAAGAAGCACUACUACAAACUACUAACAACAUCUAACAUGGCAGCAAGGAGCACUAGAAAAAGAAGACACAAAAUGGCAUCUCACGCACUAUUUCAGACUUAGUGAAAAUAACACCUCCUGAAAGUGCAUUUUUCAGCCUGAAGCUAUAUUGACAGCAGCAAAACCCUAAGCUACAGGUCUGCAAAUGACAUGAAACUUAACAUCAUGCUAGAGAAACAUAAGGGGAACAACUAACUCCAUUGGACCAACCUCAAAAGAGCUACAGAUCACAAGAUGCAAGCAAGACAAGACAACAACAAAAUAUAAAAGAUUCCAAACCUAGAAAUAUUUCAGCUCCUCCAAAUCAGCACUAUUUCUAGCAACUUGAGGGCAAUCAAACAACACCUAAACAUGCAUUUCUAUUGCAACCAAAAAUACCAGGAGCUAGACAAAACAUCUGAGAUCAACUCUCUAGUUGACAACUCCGUCAAACGACGCACGGAUUAAAUCCUACGAAUUAAACAAAAGGGCAUCACGGCAAAAUAUCUCGCGAACUAACUUCCUCAAAAGCUAAAACUAAUUGCACAGAAAAAUCCAUGGGAUUUUUCUACCCCGGAAGCAUAUCAAAUAUGUGGGGUUUGCAACACAAAAUAAUGCCACACAUUAAUGCGCGAUAUACCUCUAAACGCGGGAAAAUAAAUUACCGGCAAAUCCUACGCGCAAAAAUACGCGUGGCCACUCUAAAAUACAUGGCAAAUAAGUCCCUAAAACAUGGGCAUUUCUUCUACGGCAUACGAACAACCCGGACACGCGCGAAAAAAAUAACUACGCGCGAUAAACCUACCGAGACAACACAUAACACCAGGCAUUAGGCACGCUAAACCACAUCCAACAAAUGUGCAAGUUUCAAAUUCGGAUACUACGUGAAAUUCUACCCCGAAAACAUAUAUAAAACGCUCCGAUCCGAUAUACGGGUAUAAAUCUACGGACGUUUAAAAAUCUAACGUAUAUCUGGAAUUUAUUAUAACUCCGAAAAACCUACUAAUCUAUUGGGCCGAAACCUCAGGCGCACUAUAGCAGAAAAGACGCACUGAGCGGGGAAUAAGCUCAUCGAGUGGGCUCGGCCCAUGCAGGCUGGGGCGGAGGUGGCCUGGGGACGAAGGCCGGUCGGGCCUCGGGGCAUUGAGGCCGAGCUGGGCCGCUGGGCCGGGGAAGAUGCGGGCCUGGCUCCUGGCCAUCGGGGCCGCGGGAGGAGGCCGGCCCACAGGGGCGAGCUGGCCCGCGGGGAGGCCGACAGACGAGGGCGUCGUGCUCCUCGCGAUGGUUCCCCUCAGGACGAGCCAGGGGCAGCGGCUGCUGGCUGCCGGCACCAGGGGCGGUGGAGGCGCGCGCUGCAGGCAGCCGGGGGCGUCGAGGGAGGCGCGCUCCGGCGGGAUGUGGCAUCGGAGGCCGGCGAGCGGCAAGAUCUGGUGCGGCGGGGUCGGCCGACGUUCGGGCGCGCGGCUUGACGACGGUGCUCCGGCGAGGACGGGCGCAGGCGGCGGGGACGCUGGGACGGCAGGAUCUGCGGCGGCCUCCGGCGGCAGGGCACGAGUUCUGCGGCGAACGACGGCUCGGGCGAGCCCCGGCGGCGGGGAGGCUCGGACUGCUGCCCUCGGGCAUGGGCGAGGUGGAGCGCUGCGGGCGGCGGCGGCGGCUCGGGCUCGGGCGGGCCUGCGAUGGGCUUCGCGGGCCCGGCGGCGCUGGCAGGGGGAGAGAGGGGGGGCGGGGCGGCUAGGGGUANNNNNNNNNNNNNNNNNNNNNNNNNNNNNNNNNNNNNNNNNNNNNNNNNNNNNNNNNNNNNNNNNNNNNNNNNNNNNNNNAGAGAGAGGUGGGGCGGCGCGGCUAGGGUUAGGGUUAGGGCGCGGAUCCCGAGGAGGAUUAGGGGGGCGCCCAAAAUAGGCAGGGAGGGGUGCUUAAAUAGGGAAAGGGGCUAGCGUGCAGGGUAUCUGGGGGUUUUUCGACCCUCCGGUCGCGUUCGUGCGGUCCGAUCAGAGAGGCGGGGUGGGGGUUGGUGUUCGACCCUCCGGUCGCGUUCGUGCGGUCCGAUCAGAGAGGCGGGUUGGGGUUAGGUGUGUAGAGUGGCGUUGGUUAAGAUGAGAGGGAAGUGGUGCGGCGCGGCAUCGACUUUUAAAACACCGACAGACAUCCGACGAAUAACCGAAGACGGUGCCGCUACGGUCGACCGUUCGGGUACCAUACGGUCUCCAAUCGCGACGAAAUUCGACAGGCGGCCUAGCUAUAUCUAAUCUCGACCGUGUGCCAAGUUUCACCUCAAUCAGAGAAAGUUUUAAACGCACUUUAAAACAGGGUUUCGACGGUGCCACGGGCGCGUGCGAGUGCGGUCGGGCUCAGAAUGGGCAACGACGAGAACCGGCAACUAACAGCGUAAGCAAGUUUUGAAAACUGGCGGCAACGGGAUGCCGAUGCAAUGCAGAUGAUGCGCAUGAUGCGAUGAUGACGCGGCAACUGAAAAUACCCACACGACGAAAACGGAAAGAAAAGGGGAAGCUUCUGGAACAUCGGCAUCGGGCUGUCACACAAGUGGUAUCAGAGCUUUGGUCUCCAUUGCAUUGGUUUCAUAACCUAGGAGACUAUGGCGUCUAGUGAGGGAAGUUAUCACCGUAGAGGUCCAUAUUUCUAUGGCACUAAUUUAUCUAGUUAGAAGCAUAAGAUGAAAAUGCAUAUUCUUGGUCAUAAUCCUGCCGUUUGGGUUGUUGUUCAUGUUGGUAUGCAAGGUGAUUUCUUCAAAGAAGGAAAAGAACCGGAUCGUGAUGCGACAACGGAUGAGCUGAAGAUGUUGCAAUACAAUGCUCAAGCCCGUGAUAUCCUGUUCAACUACUUGUGUCCCAAAGAAUUCAACAAAAUCAGCCGCCUUGAGAAUGCAAAGGAAAUUUGGGAUAAUUGGAUUGAUAUGCACUAAGGUAUUGAUUCUGUUAGGGAAUCUAAGUUGGAUGUGCUUUAGAGUUUGCUUGACAAGUUCAGGAUGAAGGAUGGUGAAGGAGUUGCUGAUACAUAUUCUAGGCUAGCUCUCAUCACAAAUGAGAUUGUCGGCUUAGGAAGCGAAGAGAUGACCGAUAAAUUCAUCAUGAAGAAGAUACUUAGAACCUUGGAUGGAAGAUACGACACCGUGUGCACAUUAAUCCAAAUGAUGCUAGACUAAAAAGAUCUCAAGCCAACUGAAGUCAUUGGAAGGAUUGUUGCUCAUGAAAUUUCACUCAAGGACAAAGAUAAGUUGAACAACAAGUCAAGCGGUGCUUACAAAGCUUCAAGUGACACUCCCGCUAAUUCAGUUUACAACCUUGUUACCAAUAAAGAGAUCAGCCUCAUGGUCAAAAAAUUCGACAAGUUCUACAAGAGUAGAGGCAAAGAGAGAAGCUCAAGCUCAAGAUAUGAUGAGAAGCCUUCGUCUAGUCAUGACCAAAACUGCUACAACUGUGGAUAGCCUGGACACUAUUCCAAUGAGUGAUCUGCUCCCCACAAGCGAAGAGAAGAGUCGCCUAGAAGACAAAGCUCAACAUAUGAGUCACCUCACAGAGAGAGAAGGACUAGAGAAGAUCAUUAUGAAUGAAGACACUCCAGGCAAAUAAUCGGAGAAGAAGGAUAAGUACACCAAGAUAAUCUCAAGAAGAAGACAUCAAGCUCACGUUGGUGAAUGGGUUUGCGGCUCCGAGCUUGACAACCAAUCUGAGAGAAGUUAUCACUCCAACUCCGACUAUAGUCAAGAUGAGGGUGUUGCCAGUCUUGCACUCGUUUCCUCCAACUCCCACGACUUAUUUGAUUCACCAAAUAAAGGGAUUGGAAACUGCUGCAUGACAAAAGGCUCCAAGGUAUCACACCCCAAGUACUUUGACUUUGAUAGUGAUGAGGAUGACUUGUUAGGGGAAGAUGACUUGCUCUUUGAUAAGACUAGUGAUAACAUUGAAAAUGAUGUUGAAAAUAAGCAUGCUAGUCAAGAGUAAUCGAAUGAUGAUGAUAAUAAAGAGAUUGAACGACUAACUGAAGAGUUAAGUACUCUUAAGUUAUCUCAUGAAACUACUCUAGAAGAUCAUAGAGAGCUUGGAAGAACUCAUGAGAAGCUACGCUACGAGAAGCUAAAUUUAGAGCAAGAGCAUGAGUUCCUAAAAGUAAUCAAUGAUGAUCUUCGAAAGAAGAGUUCUUCUUAUCUAGCCAAACAAUUACUCUUGUCUACUUUUGUUCCACAAGUUAAACCUAAGAACACUAGUAAGAAAGGCAAGAAAGUUUCUUCAUCUAGUAACAACAAUGCUAAAGCUAGAUCAAAUGAUGUUGUUUCUAGUAGCUCUCUUGAUUCCACUAAUGAUUCUCUUAGCCAAGUUACACUUGAGCAAGAAAAUGAUUUAUUGAAAGGGAUUAUAGAGAGAGGUGUCUUCAAGAGUCUUGCCGGAAGUAAGCAAUUCGAAGAAAUUGUGCACAAGAAAGGAGGACAUCGGAAGAAGGAAGGUGUUGGCUACUUCAAUGUCAAUGGAUAUGUUUGGGAAGAAAGUCCAUAACACAUUCCCAAGUUUGUUCCUCAAGAGGAGAAGUAUGAUCCUACUCAUCCCAAGGUAACAAGCUCUCAAGAUGGCAUUCUACCACAAGACCACAAGGGCAAGCGAAAGCUUCAAGAGGAUAUUAACUUAUUUGAGGAAGAACCUAAAGCCAAGGUCGAGUGGGUUCCCAAGGACACUUCUUGUACUACCUCAUCUAGUGCUACCACAACUCCAAGGAUCCCCAUCAAGGUGAUGUGUGUCCCCAAGAGGAAGAACUAGAAAGUUCUUGAGGGGUGACUCCACCAAUGAAAUUCACUCUUAUUCAUUUGGCAAGAAAUAUACGCAAUCAACUCCAACCAUAUGCAUUAGUUCAAGGGGCCACACAUUCCCUCAAAGGUGAGCAAGGGACAAGGUAAUUAAUGCAUCUUUGGACAUCACCUCCCAUGUAUUUCACUCAAUGUCCAUAGAUAUCUUUGCAUUUGUUCCUUUUGCUUUGGGACUAACCCAUGUAGGUGAGAAGGGUAGGAAUUAACUAGGAUUUCCCACAAGUAAAAGAUGAUCUUCAUCAACAAUGAGCAUCCACCACUACUACACCUACUUGAAGUCUUCCACGACAAAACCCAAGGUUAGUUUAUCCCACUUAGGGGGGAUGUCACAUCUAGGGGGGCUUUACUCUAAGACUUGAGUAUAAGCGUGUCCUAAAUGAUAUGAACACAUUAAUGCAUUAUGUAAAAGUGGUAACUCCACUUGUGCUUAAUCGAUGAGUAUGACCUAUGAUCAAGUAUUCUUAUUUGGCUCCUAAGUCAAUAUAAUCAUAUAUAGAUGACUUCGUCAUCGCCAAAGUGCUUGAUAGAUGCUAGAAUGUUUGUGCAUGUUCACCAUAUUUAUUUGACAUCUUAUUGUGUGAGCAUGUUGGUAUGCAUAUUUUUCUCAUUCGAGGAUAUCCAGUUGUUAUUAUUUGGCUUUCUAUUUUAUUUGGCCAAUUGGAUAUACAAGAAUGCCUAAGUACCUUUCUCUAGCUAUAUAUGCUUUCUCGUCUCAAAUUCUAUUCAUGCUUCAUCACAAAAUUUGAGCAAGCUCUUUAGGGACACUCUCCGUGAGGAGCACUCGGAGAUCCUCUCGACAAGGGCUGAAUUCCAAAACCUCCCAAAGUGCAUCUCGGUGUGAACAACCUCAAAAUCUCGGUCCCACCGAAGCCGAGGGUUGAUCAAGUUUUAUCAUCUUGGUGCAACCGAGUUUUGCUUUUCGGCCUUACCGAGUUUCACUGUCAGCGGACAGUUGUGUAACUUGUUGGCACCGAAAAUCUCAUCUCGGUGUCACCGACAACAAGGAGAUAUAUAUAUCUAUGGAAUACGACAAUUGAAAAUCACUUCAAACGUCGAACAACCGCACCUCCUCGUUGCCGCGCCCUAGUCCUCUCGACAUCUUCUUGAUCCUCCCAUGCACCCUCGCCACUGGAGUCCUGGCCGCCGACGGGAUAUUCACCGUCAUAGCCGCCAUAGCGAAUCCUCACUGAGUUAGGGUACGGAUUCGAUUCCUUUGGCGCUUCAAAUCUGAUUCUUGCACAAAUAGGUCCUACCAUUAUCUAUCGACUAUUGCACUGGUUCUACCCAACAGAAAAUUCCCUUAGAUUAACGAGCAAAUAAAUUUUUAGGGUUAACAGUCCGCCAAAUUGAAUCUCAGUGUCACCGAGUUGCAAAAGUCGGUCUUACCAAUUUUGGUUUUAGGGUUACUGAUAAUGUUCUCUGNNNNNNNNNNNNNNNNNNNNNNNNNNNNNNNNNNNNNNNNNNNNNNNNNNNNNNNNNNNNNNUGAACCGAGUUCUCCUUUCCGGUGAAUCCAAAAAGGGUGCCAAGUUUCUGUUAAUGAGAACAUCUCUCUAAUUGGCUCAAAAAUUUCCGACUCGGUGGAACUGAAAUCCUCUUUUCCUGAAUGUUAAAACUAACCUUUUCAAAGUUCAAAUUUGACAAAACUUCUACAUUUUUUGGUGCUUAUCCAUUCGAACUCUUCGAUAUCGUUUCAUAGGGUCUACUUGUGUGCUUGUGUGCCAGUCUGCUUGUGUGCUUGUUCUUGUUAGAAUGUCAAGUUCAGAGGAUAGUCAAAACAACUUCUGUGAGCCUAGUUGUGAAAUGGACUCAUGCACUAGUCCUGAGAGGACACCUUCUGACCCAAGUACUCCUAAGUCCCAUGGCAUGCUCAAGGCAACUACUAGGUCCAGAAGGAAGAUCAAUUCUGAUGAAGAAGAUGAUGACUUCAUCCGUGAAGAACCUGCUCCCUAGAAGCAGAAGGAGAAGACCACAAUCAGGAAGACCGUGAUGAAGGAGUAUGGUAGACCUUCUUACACUAGAGCUCCUGAAGCUAGGUUUGCAAAAAAGCUAGGUCAAAAGAGAGUAAGAAAGAGAACUAUCCAUGUUGUUGGGAGGCCAACCUCAAUGUAUGAAGAUCCAGCAGAAGCUGCUGAUGAUGAGGAGGAAGAAAUUCCUAAUGAGGUUCCUCCUCCCAAGAAGAAAUACUUGAUGGCUGAUGGUAUGCCUAAGAAGUCGGCCCCAAAGCCUUCAGCACCUAAGGCUAAGAAGUCUGUAGCUCCCAAGAGGACUACAAAGGAUAUUCCUGCAGCUGAGAAAAACAAAGGAUAUACGUCCAGAGAAUUUGCUACAUAAAAAGAUGAGGAUGCCCAUGUGCUUAUGAAGCUGAGACCUCAUUUGCCAUCCCACAAUGAAGCUCAUCCAGCUUCUAAACACAUGAAGAAGAGAAGGGAUGCAGGUUUGAGGAAGUGGAGAUCUAUUGAUCCAUAUGCUGUGAGAAGGAGAACUCUGUUGAUCCACGCUUUCACACAAAAGAGCAACUUGAUUUCUAUGAGACUGUUUGCUUGAUAAGAGUCCUGUAGUCAGCGACAUGAGAUAUGUCGAUUGGGAAUACAUCAAAGCCAAUGAAGAAUAUUUUCCCCAUUUGAGAGAAAAUUUCAGGAUGGUUGAUAUCAAAGAUUUGUUGGUAAAGAGAUGACUCCAUGGAAUGAUGAGAUGAUCAUGCAAUUCUAUUUCACCGCCGACUUCUGUUCUCAUGGAAGAAUUGUUUGGAUGAGUGAGGGUCACCAUUAUGAAUCCACAGUUGACGAAUGGGCCACUAUAAUUGGUGCUCCUAAAGCAUAAGACAUAUAAUUGGAUGUGUAUUCACAGCUCAAGAUGAAUCACAACUCCAUGGCCAACAUGUACAAGUCAGUGCCCCAUGAGUUUUUGCCGUCACACAAAUUUGGCUCUGGCUACCUUUGCAAGCAGGAAUACCCACUACGAACACUAUCAUGAGAUAUACCUUGAUGUCCAAAUCAGGAGAUGACAAGAUGAUUAGAGGUUAUUCCAUCAACAUGCAACAUCAUCUUGACACCCACACCUGGUUCCGAGUGAUGGACUUGAUAGUUGAGACUGUCAAGAGGACAACUACAUAUCAGAAGAGAUCUUGUGGAUAUGCUCCAUACAUUUAGAUCCUCGUCAAUGCUAAGAUUGGCAAGCAUGCAUAUCUACUUAAUCGUCCCCACCUGCCACUUCAGCCUGAUUUCAAAGACAAUGAUGCUGUGAUGGUUGAUAGCCAUCCCAACUCAGCUACUACUCGAGAGGCAGCAGAUGUGGAGGCUCCUACGAAUGCUCCAACUCCAACCCCACAGCUCAGAACCAGAGAUGAGCAGAUGUCAUUCUUGGUCAGCACUAUCCAAGGGAUGGAAAAGAAAGUUUCUGAGAUUUUGUUUAACCAUAAGAGCUUCGAGAGGAUCGUGGAGACAAAAUUCCAUGACCUGGAUGUUAAGGUGACAGAGUUUACCACCACUAUUGAGCAGCACUAGCAUGAAGUUGAUUCUGUGAAGAGUCCACGCUCCAGCAGUGAUGAUGAAGAGUCGCCCCUUCCUACUACUACUUAGUUCAGGACCGAUACUAGUUCAACAGUUGUGCCAGUUCUGGAAGCAAGGCCAUCUUCAUCAGCUCAAGCUUCAGCUCCUGCUCCUACACACCCAUUGUCUACACCUCCAGCUCCAGUGACUUAUGGAGAAGCCUUCGUCGAUGCUCUUUUGUCCACUCCAUCAUCACCUUCCGGAGGAGAUCAUGCUCACAAAGAUGCUUAGUUCUAGACCUUUGAACUUGUUAGUAACUUUUUGCCAAAGGGGGAGAAGUGUAUAGAUCAAAUAAGGCUUCAAGAGGGAGAGCUUUGCACUUUAUUCGCUCUCAUUUGGUUUUUCAAACUUUUGGUCUUUUGGAUGACUUUAUCCGUUUAGAGGUGUGUUUGAUCAUAUUUGAUUGUCUGAUGCUACCACGUUAUUACCUUUGAGCUAUCUACAUGAUGAUCAUUCACUUGCUUGUUUGGUGUUAUGUGCAUUACUAUUCAUUCAUAUCAUUUAUCCGCACCACAAAGUUGUAUUAAACAUGGAAGAGUAACCCAUGAUCCUAAUCGAUUGUGCAUUUGCAUUCAAACACACAUCAUAAAUAAUGCACAUAUUUAGGGGGAGCUCUUGCUUUUCACAUACUUCUCAAAGCGUUGAUGCUAAUCAUUGAUUAUAUACUUUGUCGAAGCUUUGAUUUGUAUGUUGUCAUCAAUUACCAAAAAGGGGGAGAUUGAAAGCACAAUUGCUCUCUAAGGUGGUUUUGAUAAUUGAUCACAACAUAUGCAUCAUUGGACUAAUGAGUUUAUUCAAGUAUAUUUCAGAAAAGUUCAAAGUUGCCUUGGCUAUUGGAUUGUGAGGAGCAGCUCCUUGAUGCAAAAAGGAAUACGAUUGGCUCAAGUUUCAAGCAAGAAGACUCUUCAUUUUACAUUUCUGAGAAAUCCCUUUGAGUCCAUAGGAAAGCCAAUACUAUUAAAAGGGAGUGAGGUAUUAUGAUGAAUUGGUUGCCUAAGUGCUUAGAGGUAGCCACCAAAAAUAAUCAGCCAUUCUCCCAUAAGAUAUAUCUGUCCAAAGCCAAACCAGCAAAAUUGAUGCCGCCAACUAAUUCCAUUCGGUCCUACCGAUUUUACACUUGACAGAUCCUAUGCCAAACCCUACCAUCUCGGUACCACCAACUUUCACAUUGGUGCCAUCGAUAUUCAGUGGCCAACUUUCUGUUGAGAAGAUCUCAAGAAUCGGAAUUUCUGAGUUUGAAAUCGGUCUCACCGAGAUUUGGAUACUGGUCUAGGUCAUCGUAUCGGUACCACAAAGAUCUCUAUAUCGGUCACACCGAGAAUUCAAAAGUCGCCACAUUUAGUGCAACUCGGUACCACCGAGAUUCAUUUCGGUGUCACCUAGUUGGGCAAUAAUGUAACAGUUGGAUUUUGAAGAUACCUAUAUAUACCCCUCCACCCACCUCUCAUUUGUAGAGCAAGCACUCAGAACACACUUACACUUGCUAGAUCCAUUUUUCUGAGGGAGAGCCACCUACUCUUGUGUUGAGAUAAAGAGAUUCCUUUACAACCAUUCGAACCUUGAUAUCUAGCCUCCCCAAGUUUCUUUCCACAAGAUCAAUCUCUCCUACCCCUGCCAAAUCAGAGAGAGAGUGAUUGAGUGUUGAGGAGACUAUCUUUAGAAGCACAAGAGGAAGGAGUUCAUCAUUCUACCGCAUCUAUUACCUUUUGGAGGGUGGUGCCUCCUAGAUUGGUUAGGUGUCGCUUGGGAGCCUCCUAUACUUCGUGGUGUGGAGUUGAACCAAGAUGUUUGUAAAGUCAAGGAGAUCGCCUACUUCAUGAAGAUCUACCAUGAUUGAGGCUAGUCCUGUGUGGACAGAAGCCGUGGUGGAAUAGACAAGGCCGCUUCUUUAUGGACCCCUUGUGGGUGGAGCCCUGUGUGGACUCUUGCAGCCAUUACCCUCCGUGGGUUGAAGUCUCCACUAACAUUGACGUAUGAUAGCGCCACCUACCGGAACCAUGCCAAAAAUCAUUGUGUCAACCUUUGCGUUUGAUCUCCUUACCUUACCCUCUACUUUAUACUUGCAUGUCUUACUUUCCGCUGCUAUACUCUUAGAUGUGUAUGUAUACGGUGAACUUGGCUAGUCAUAAUUGCUAAAACUGGCCCACAACUAAAAUUGGGAAAGUCUAACUUUUUAUCUUCUCAAGUAGUCUAAUCACCCCCCCUUUAGACACACUUUUGAUCCUACACCUUGCAGCCAAGCUAGGACACUGAUAUGUUGGAAAUUCAUUCCCAUUUUCUUGCAUGGGACCUAAACAUGCAUCCACGGACACAUAUAUGAUUUUCAACCCAUUUUGGUGCACUGUACCUUGUGAUUGUAGAUGAAAAUUGAAUUAUGCACACUAAAUGCACAGAAAACUCAAUUAAUGUAUACAAAAGAGAGAUGAUCUCUUAAUUUAUUCAUAUUUUUGCAUUUUGCACCUAUUUGUCUAUUUUUUUCUAUAAAAAAUGAAAGGCGAGAAGAGGCAUCCGAUGUCGUUUCACGCGCAGAUGUGACAUGUGCAUGUUCCCUAUCGAAACCACAAAGGUUCUUGUGAGAAGCUCUGGUUUGUAAGAGGCUUGUGACAAAAUAUGUUUAAGUUGGACAUUUUUUUACCACGGCAUAUGUGCACCCUUGUCAUGACACCAUGCCAGGUUUCAUAAAUUUAUAACGAGUUUUGCAUUUAUGGUAAUUUGAAAACCAAGUUUCUCAAUGAUUGCGGUCGAGUCAAGACACUAAGAUAUUUGGAAUUCAUUCCCAUUUCUUGACUGGGACCUAAUCAUGCAGCCAGGGAUAAGUAUACGAUUUUUCAACCAAUUUUCAUGCACUGGACCUUGUAAUUGUAGUUAAAAUUUUAAUUAUGCACAUUAAAUGGCUAGACAAUUCAAUUACUGUAUUAAACAGACCAAAUGAACCGUGGAAAAUUCCAUAGUCUAGCACGACGGUCAUAUUGCUCUAUGGUGUCUCUAGAAAUAAAUUCAUGGCAAGAAUCGAUAGCGGGUGUUACUUCGCACAUAAAUGGUGAACGUCCCUAUCGGAACCACAUGGCUUUAUUGUUAGAAUCUAUGGUUUGUUAGAGGCUUGUACCAAAACAUGUCCAAAAUUGGGCAAAUUAUUUUACCACAACACACAACAUGCAACGUAAUGACACCAUGCCCAAGUGUCAUGAAAUACCAACGAGGUCUAGAUUUACAAAAAUUUAAAAAUCAAGAUUCCCCAUGUUUGCGGCCGAGCCAAGAUGCUAAGAUUGUUGGAAAUAAGCCCUAGAGGCAAUAAUAAAUUAGUUAUUGUUAUAUUGCCUUGUUCAUGAUAACCGUUUAUUAUCCAUGCUAGAAUUGUACUGAUUGGAAACUCAAAUACAUGUGUGGGUACAUAGAAAACACUGUGUUCCUAGUGAGCCUAUGAUGGGAUAGCUCAUUGAUCAAAGAUGGUCAAGGACUCCUGGCCAUAGACAUGAGUUGUCAUUUGAUAACGGGAUCACAUCAUUAGGAGAAUGAUAUGAUGGACAAGACCCAAACUAUGAACGUAGCAUAUGAUCAUGUAAGUUUAUUGUUUUUGUUUUCUGCAUGUCAAGUAUAUAUUCCUAUGACCAUGAGAUCAUGCAACUCCUAGACACCAGAGGAAUGCCUUGUGUGUAUCAAACAUCACAAUGUAACCAGGUGACUAUAAAGGUGCUCUAAUGGUAUCACCGAGGGUGUCUGUUGGGUCCCCGUGAAUCGAGACUAGGAUUUGUCACUCCGUAUGACGGAGAGGUAUCUCUAGGGCCCACCCAGUAAUACAACAUCACAAGAAGCUUGCAAGCAAUGUGAAUAAGGAUUUAGUCAUAGGAUCUUGUAUUAUGGAACAAGUAAAGAGACUUGCCGGUAACGAGAUUGAACUCGGUAUGCAGAUACCGACGAACGAAUCUCGGGCAAGUAACAUACCGACGAACAAAGGGAACAAUAUACGGGAUUGAUUGAAUCCUUGACAUCAUGGUUCGACUGAUAAAGAUGUUUGCAUAAUAUGUAGGAGCCAAUAUGGGCAUCCAGGUCCCGCUAUUGGUUAUUGACCGAAGAGUGUCUCGGUCAUGUCUGCAUAGUUCUCAAACCAACACGGUCUGCACACUUAAGGUUUGGUGAUGAUUUAUUAUUAAUGAGUUAUGUGUGGUGAUAACCGGAAGUUGUUUGGAGUCCCGGAUGAGAACCAGAUGUCACCAGGAGCUCUGGAAUGGUCCGGAGGUAAAUUUUUAUAUAUAUGAAAGUGGUAUUCGGGUUUCGGGAAGGUUUUCGGUGUUUCCAGUAGUGUACCGGGAGUGCCGAAUAGGUUCCGGGGGUCCAUCGGGAGGGGCCCACCCACCCCCGGGGCCACAUGGGCUUGAGAGGUGGCGCACCAGCCCCUAGAGGGCUGGACAGCCGACCCCUAAAGGGCCUAUGCGCCCAAGGUGGUAGGUGGGGGUGCCUUGGAGACGAGGGAGUCCUCACUAGGGCUUCACUUUGGUCGUUCGACACUUCCUUGGAGGAGGCGCUAGGGAUGUGCCUCACCCACCCCUCCUCCUAUAAAUCAAGAGGGAUAGGGAGGGCAGACAUACGCGAAGGCAUAGGUGCAGCCCUCCCUCUCUCCCUAGAUCCGUGUCUCUUCCAAAACGCAUCUCCGACAGCGCUUGGUGAAGUCGUGCUGAGAUUGCUCCACCACCACCGCCACCACGCUGUUGUGCUAUCGGAGAACUCAUAUACCUCUCCGCCCUCUCUUGCUGGAUCAAGGAGACGGGGAAUGUGAUACGUCCAUUUUGCAUCAUGUUUUCAUGUUGAUAUUUAUCGCUUCUUCGGUUGUUAUUUCACUUCACGGUACAAUACUUAUGCCUUUUCUCUCUUAUUUUGCAAGGCUUACAUGAAGAGGGAGAAUGCCGACAACUGGAAUUCUGGCCUGAAAGUGGACCAAAGUUGAGAUACCUAUUCUGCGCAACUCCAAACGCCGUAAAAAUUAACGAGGAUUUUUUUUCCGGAUUUAUAAAAAAUACUGGGCCGAAGAAGUGCCACAGGGGCGCGUGCAGGUGGCCAAAAGCGUGCACGACGCGGCCACCCCCAGGCCGCGCCAUGAGGGCUUGUGGGUAGCCUGCUGGCCCACUGGCCCCACUCUUCUGCUAUAUGAAGGGUUUCGUCGAGAAAAAAAAUCAGGGAGGAGCUUUUUCGUGGAUUCGCCGCCGCCACGAGGCGGAACUUGAGCAAAACCAAUCUAGAGCUCCGGCAGGACGAUCCUGCCAGGGAACCUUCCCUCCCGGAGGGGGAAAUCGUCGCCAUCAUCAUCACCAACACUCCUCCCAUCGGAGGGGACUAGUCACCAUCAACAUCUUCAUCAGCACCAUCUCAUCUCCAAACCCUAGUUCAUCACUUGUAACCAAUCUCCGUCUCGCGACUCCGAUUGGUACUUGUAAGGUUGCUAGUAGUGUUGACUACUCUUUGUAGUUGAUGCUAGUUGGAUUAUUUGGUGGAAGAGUUUAUGUUCAGAUCCUUGAUGCUACUCAUUACCUCUCUGGUCAUGAAUAUGAUUAUGCUUUGUGAGUAGUUACUUUUGUUCCUGAGGACAUGGGAUAAGUCAUGCUAAUAGUAGUCAUGUGAAUUUGGUAUUCGUUCGGUAAUUUGAUAUGUUGUAUGUUGUUUUUCCUCUAGUGGUGUUAUAUGAACGUCGACUACAUAACACUUCACCACUAUUUGGGCCUAGAGGAAGGCAUUGGGAAGUAGUAAGUAGAUGAUGGGUUGCUAGAGUGACAGAAGCUUAAACCCUAGUUUAUGCGUUGCAUCGUAAGGGGCUGAUUUGGAUCCACUAGUUUAAUGCUAUGGUUAGACUUUGUCUUAAUUCUUCUUUCGUAGUUGCGGAUGCUUGCGAGAGGGGUUAAUCAUAAGUGGGAUGCUUGUCCAAUUAAGGGCAGUACCCAAGCGAUGGUCCACCCACAAAUCAAACUAUCAAAGUAACGAACGCGAAUCGUAUGAACAUGAUGAAAACUAGCAUGACAGAAAUUCCCGUGUGUCCUCGGGAGCGUUUUUCCUCCUAUAAGACUUUGUCCAGGCUUGUCCCUUGCUACAAAAGGGAUUGGGCCACUUUGCUGCACCGUUGCUAAUUUUUUUACUUGUUGCUUUCUAUGAAUCAUCUCACCACACAAUCACUUGUUACCGACAAUUUUAGUGCGUGCAGAUUUUACCUUGCUGAAAACCACUUGUCAGAUCCUUCUGCUCCUCGAUGGGUUCAACACUCUUACUUAUCGAAAGGACUACGAUUGAUCCCCUAUACUUGUGGGUCAUCAAGACUCUUUUCUGGCACCGUUGCCGGGGAGUGAAGCGCCUUUGGUAAGUGGAACUUGGUAAGGAAACAUUCAUAUAGUGUGCUGAAAUUUAUUGUCACUUGUCACUAUGGAUACUAAUCCUUUGAGGGGCUUGUUCGGGGUAUAUUCACCUCGAACAGAAGCACAAAGAGUUGCUCCUCAACAUGCUGCACCUACUGAAAAUAUUUGCUUUGAAUUUCCUUCGGGUAUGCUUGAGAAACUGCUGGCUAAUCCUUUUACAUGAGAUGGAACAUCACAUCCAGACUUGCAUCUAAUCUAUGUAGAUGAAGUUUGUGGUUUAUUUAAGCUUGCAGGUUUGCCUAAGGAUGAGGUCAAGAAGAAGGUCUUUCCUUUAUCUUUGAAGGAUAAGGUGUUGACAUGGUAUAGGCUAUGUGAUGACACUGGAUCAUGGGACUACAAUCGGUUGAAAUUGGAAUUUCAUCAAAAGUUUUAUCCUAUGCAUUUAGUACAUCGUGAUCGGAAUUUUAUUUACAAUUUUUGGCCUCGUGAUAGAGAAAGCAUCACUCCAGCUUGGGGGAGGCUUAAAUCAAUGUUAUAUUCAUGCCCCAAUCAUGAGCUCUCGAGAUAAAUUAUCAUUCAGAACUUCUAUGCUCGGCUUUCUCAUGAUGAUCGCACCAUGCUUGACACUUCUUGUACCGGUUCUUUUAUGAAGAGAGAUAUUGACUUCAAAUGGAAUUUAUUGGAGAGAAUUAAACGCAACCCUGAAGAUUGGGAGCUUGAAGAAGGUAAGGAGUCAGGUAUCAAUUUCACGUUUGAUUGCGUUAAAUCCUUUGUUGAGGCAAAAACUUUUUGUGACUUUAGCGCUAAGUAUGGACUUGACUCUGAGAUAGUAGCUUCAUUGUGUGAAUCAUUUGCUGCUCAUAUUGAUCUCCCCAAAGAGAAGUGGUUUAAAUAUCCUCCUCCUUUAGAAGUUAAUGUAGUUAAACCCAAUCCAGUUGAAGAGAAAGUCAUUGCCUAUAAUGAUCCUAUUGUUCCCAGUGCUUACAUUGAGAAACCACCUUUCCCUGUUAGGAUAAAGGAUCAUUCUAAAGCUUCAACUGUGAUACGUAGAGGCUACAUUAGAACACCUACACCCCCUGAGCAAAUUAGAGUUGAACCUAGCAUUGCUAUUAUCAAAGAUCUUCUGUCCGACGAUGUUGAGGGACAUAAUAUUCACUUUUGUGAAGAUGCUCCUAGAAUUGCUAAACCUCACGCUAGAUCAUUGUUAUCAUGGCUUAUGUGACGUGGGUGCUAGUGUUAGUGCAAUACCUCAAUCCUUAUAUGAUGAAAUCAAAGAUGAGAUUGCACCUGUUGAGAUAGAGCCUAUUGAUGUCACUAUUCAACUUGCCAAUAGAGAUACUAUCUGCCCUGUGGGAAUUGUUAGGGAUGUUGAAGUCUUGUGUGGUAAAAUGAAGUAUCCUGCUGAUUUCCUAGUUCUUGCUACCGCACAAGAUAGCUUUUGUCCCAUCAUAUUUGGUAGACCUUUUCUCAAUACUGUCAAUGCUCAUAUUGAUUGUGAGAAGCAAUCUGUCACUAUUGGCUUUGAAGGGGUGUCACAUGAGUUCAAUUUCUCUAAGUUUGGUAGACAACCUCAUGAAAAGGAGUUGCCUAGUAGGGAUGAAACUAUUGCCUUAGCUUCUAUUUCCAUGCCUCCUACUGAUCCCUUAGAGCAAUACUUGCUUGAGCAUGAAAAUGAUAUGCAUAUGGAUGAAAGGGAUGAGAUAGAUAGAGUUUUCUUAGAACAAUAUCCUAUCCUUAAGAAUAAUCUGCGUGUUGAACUGCUUGGGGAUCCACCCCCACCAAAGGGUGAUCCUGUGUUCGAGCUUAAACAGUUGCCUGAUACUCUUAAGUAUGCCUAUCUUGAUGAAAAAGAGAUAUAUCCUGUUAUAAUUAGUGCUAGCCUCUCAUAGCAUGAAGAAAAGAAGUUACUAAAAACUCUGACAAAGCACCGUGCUGCUAUUGGAUAUACUCUUGAUGAUCUUAAGGGAAUUAGUCCCACUCUAUGCCAUCACAAGAUUAAAACCUAUCCUGAUUUCAAACCAGUUGCUGAUCAUCAAAGGAGAUUAAAUCCUAAGAUGAAAGAAGUAGUAAGAAAAGAAAUACUAAAGCUCCUGGAAGCGGGUAUUAUCUAUCCUGUUGCUCAUAGUGAUUGGGUGAGUCCGGUGCAUUGCGUCCCUAAGAAGGGAGGUAUUAACGUUGUCCCUAAUGAUAAGGAUGAAUUGAUCCCACACAGGAUUAUUACUGGCUAUAGGAUGGUGAUCGAUUUUAGGGAAUUGAAUAAAGCCACUAGGAAAGAUCAUUACCCUUUGCCUUUUAUCGACCAAAUGCUAGAAAGGCUAUCCAAACACACACACUUCUGCUUUCUAGACAGAUAUUCUAGUUUCUCCCAAAUACCAGUUGCACAAUCUGAUCAGGAGAAAACCACUUUCACCAGCCCUUUCGGUACCUUUGCUUACAGACGUAUGCCUUUUGGCUUAUGUAAUGCACCUGCCACCUUUCAAAUAUGUAUGAUGGCUAUAUUCUGUGACUUUUGUGAAAAGAUUGUCGAGGUUUUCAUGGAUGACUUUUCUGUUUACGGGUCUUCCUUUGAUGAUUGCCUCAGUAACCUUGAUCGAGUCUUACAGAGAUGUAAAUACACCAAUCUUGUCUUGAAUUGGGAGAAGUGCCACUUUAUGGUUAACGAAGGCAUCGUCUUAGGACAUAAAAUUUCUUAAAGAGACAUUGAAGUCGAUAAGGCUAAGGUUGAUGCAAUCGAGAAAAUGCCAUACCCCACAGAUAUCAAAGGUAUAAGAAGUUUCCUUGGUCAUGCUGGUUUCUAUAGAAGGUUCAUCAAAGACUUCUCUAAGAUUUCUAGGCCUCUUACCAAUCUCUUACAAAAGGAUAUUCCUUUUGUUUUUGACUAUGAUUGUGAGGAAGCCUUCGAAAUACUUAAGAGGGCUUUAAUAACUACACCUAUUGUUCAACCACCUGAUUGGAACUUACCUUUCGAGAUCAUGUGUGACGCUAGUGAUUAUGCUGUUGGUGCUGUUCUAGGGCAAAGAGUCGAUAAGAAGUUAAAUGUUAUUCACUAUGCUAGUAAAACUCUAGACAGUGCCCAAAGAAACUAUGCCACUACGGAGAAGGAAUUUUUAGCAGUCGUGUUUGCAUGUGAAAAGUUCAGGUCUUACAUAGUUGAUUCCAAAGUCACUAUUCACACUGAUCACGCUGCUAUUAAGUACCUAAUGGAGAAUAAAGACGCUAAACCUAGACUUAUCAGAUGGGUUCUCUUGCUACAAGAAUUUGAUUUGCACAUUGUCGACAGAAAGGGUGCUGAUAACCCAGUAGUAGAUAACUUGUCUAGGUUGGAGAACGUUCUCGAUGACCCACAACCUAUUGAUGAUAGCUUUCCCGAUGAGCAAUUGAAUGUCAUCAAUGCUUCACGUACUGCACCGUGGUAUGCUGAUUAUGCAAACUAUAUCGUUGCCAAAUAUAUACCACCUAGUUUCACAUACCAGCAAAAGAAGAAAUUCUUUGACUUAAGACAUUACUUUUGGGAUGAUCCUCACCUUUAUAAGGAAGGAGUAGGUGGUGUUAUUAGACGUUGUGUACCCGAACAUGAACAGGGACAGAUCCUACAUAAGUGUCACUCCGAGGCCUACGGAGGACAUCAUGCGGGAGAUAGAACUGCACACAAGGUAUUGCAAUCAGGUUUCCUCUCUUCAAGGAUGCCCGUAAGUUUGUCUUGUCUUGUGACGAAUGUCAAAUAAUAGGUAAUAUUAGCAAACGUCAGGAAAUGCCUAUGAACUAUUCACUUGUCAUUGAACCAUUUGAUGUUUGGGGCUUUGAUUAUAUGGGACCUUUUCCAAAAUCCAAUGGGUAUACUCACAUCUUAGUUGCUGUUGAUUACGUCACUAAGUGGGUAGAAGCUAUCCCCACUAGUAGUGCUGAUCACAACACUUCUAUCAGGAUGCUUAAAGAAGUUAUCUUCCCUUGAUUUGGAGUCCCUAGAUAUCUAAUGACCGACGAUGGUUCAUAUUUCAUUCAUGGUGCUUUUCGUCAAACGCUUGCUAAGUACGAUGUCAACCAUAGAAUUGCGUCUCCCUAUCACCCUCAGUCCAGUGGUCAAGUAGAGCUAAGUAAUAGAGAGAUUAAACUGAUUCUGCAAAAGACUGUCAACAGGUCUAGAAAGAAUUGGUCUAAGAAGCUCGAUGAUGCACUGUAGGCUUAUAGAACUGCCUAUAAGAAUCACAUGGGCAUGUCUCCAUACAAAAUGGCAUACGGUAAAGCAUGUCAUUUACCUCUUGAGCUAGAGCAUAAAGCUUAUUGGGCGUUCAAAGAGCUCAACUUUGAUUUCAAACUUGCCGGUGAGAAGAGGUUAUUUGAUAUUAGCUCGCUUGAUGAAUGGAGAACUCAGGCAUAUGAGAAUGCCAAGUUGUUCAAAGAGAAGGUUAAGAGGUGGCAUGAUAAGAGGAUACAAAAGCGUGAGUUCAAUGUAGGUGAUUAUGUCUUGCUAUAUAACUCUCGUUUAAGAUUCUUUGCAGGCAAGCUUCUCUCAAAAUGGGAAGGUCCCUAUGUUGUUGAGGAAGUAUAUCGUUCUGGUGCUAUCAAGAUCAACAACACGGAAGGUAAUUGUCCGAGAGUGGUAAAUGGGCAGAGAAUCAAGCAUUAUAUCUCAGUUACUCCCAUAAAUGUUGAAAGCAAUAUUAUCAAUACCAUAACUCCGGAAGAAUACCUAAGGGAUAUUUAUCAGCCUGUUUCAGACUCCGAAAACGAAGAGGUAUGUGAUUCGAUAAGAAAACAGAGUCCAAAACUUUUCCAGUAGGAAAUUUUCUCCGUUUUGGAAUAUUUGAAAAAUACAAAAAUUGAAGUAGUCCGGAAAGUGCGCGAGGAGGCGACAAGCCUGCACGGCGCGGGCCCACCCCCUGGCCGCACCGUUAGGGCUUGUGGCCACCUCGUGCGCCUCCCGGGCUCCGUUUUCGUGCGGGGUACUCCUUCUAGUCUGAAAAAAAUCAUUAUAUAUACUCCUGUUUGAUCUGACCUCUGCAUCAUGCAGAUUUCCUCUGUUUUUCGUUUCGAGCGUGUUUUCUGCCACAGAUCUAGGUCAAGAUGUCUUCUCAGGAUUCAGAGGGGGAGAGUUAUGUGGCUGAUUACCUUGCUAACCCCAAGGUCUAUGGGGACUUGGAUCCUUAUGGCUGGACAACUGAUGAGGAAGAAGAUUAUGAUCCGAAGGGGAAGGAACAAACAAGUUCCGAUGAAGAGGAGGCUCCUCUACCUCAACCUGGACACACGCAUGUGGAGUUCAAGAAGUCGAGCCUCCCUGACUCAAGAAAGAAGCCUAAGACCUUGUUUAUACCUUCUCGUUUCUUGCAGGAGAGUAAGCAAGAAUUAUGCCAAAGGGUGUUGAAGCUUGAAGAGGAAAAUGAUGAUGUGAGGGAGCAGAAUUUUAUGCUCAACUGGAAAUUAAACAAGCUCAAGACCUCUUCAACAACUCCUCCACCUUCACCACCAAAGGGAGACAACUGAGCAUUGGUAUGGGCAAUCCCCUUGGCUUGUGCCAAGCUUGGGGGAGUUGCCCCAGUAUCGUAUCACCAUCACAUCUUUUGCCUUUACCUUUGUUUUAGUUUGUUCCUUUUCAAUUUUCUCUUUCUCUAGUAGUAUAAAGUCUUAGUGUUUUAGUCUUGAGUUUUGCUUUGUGUCACCCCUGAUGUAUUCGAGCUCGUGAGCCAUAUAAUAAAGAGUGUCUUAGUUGACGGGAUUUGCCUCUUGCCAUGAUCAAAAGAGUGAGAGUAGAACAAAAGCAUGAAAGAUCAUGUACUGAUCUUAUGGGAAGUGAUGGCUUCACAUAUAAAAAGAAUGAGGAUUGAAACUUGUUGAGGGUAGGCAAAUGUAGACCUUGGUCAUGGUUGCAAUUAACAGGAAGUGAUAAAGAAGGAGAGGUUCACAUAUAAAUAUAUCAUCUGUGACACCAUCUAUGAUUAUGAACACUCACUAAACUAUUGCAUGGCUAGAAGUAGAUGUUGGACAAGGAAGACAACAUAAUGAAUUGUGUUGGCUUGGCUCCGACAAUGUUAUAUGAUUAGAGAUCCCUUAGCAUGUGACGAUUGCUUCCACCUCAUAUUAGCCAAAACUCCCGCACCAAGUAGAGAUACUACUUGUGCAUCCAUAAACCUUCAACCUAGUUUUGCCAUGAGAGUCCACCAUACCUACCUAUGGAUUGAAUAAGAUCCCUCAAGUAAGUUGUCAUCGGUGCAAGCAAUAAAAAUUGCUCUCUAAUAUGUAUGAUCUAUUAGUGUGUGGAAAAUAAGCUUUGUACGAACCUGUGAUGAGGAAGACAUAAAAGCGACAGACUGCAUAAUGAAGUUCUUUAUCACAAGAGGCAAUAUAAAGUGACGUUCCUCCGCACUAAGAGGACACGCAUCCAAACCUCAAAAGCGCAUGACAACCUCUGCUUCCCUCUGCGAAUGGCCUAUCUUGUACCUUUACUUUUUGCCCUUUAAAGAGUCAUGGUGGUCUUCACCAAUUCCUUAUUUCGCCUUUAUCUUGGCUACCGUCAUAUGCUUGGGAAAGAUCUAUAUUUGUAUGUCAACUUGGAGGUAAGUAUUCAUGAAUUAUUAUUGUUGACAUUACCCUUGAGGUAAGCAGUUGGGAGGCAAAACUGUAAGCCCCUAUCUUUAUCUGUGUCCAGCUGAAACUUUGAUCCCAUGAGUACCACGUGAGUUGUAGCAAUUCUAGAGAACGAAAGAAUGAUUGAGUAUGUGGAUUUGCUUUACAAGCUCUUAUUUGACUCUUUCUGAUGUUGUGAUAAAUUGCAAUUGCUACAAUGGCUAAAGGCUAUCGGUUGUUACUUCUCGGUAAGGUUCUUGAUCCAUGCUUUACUUUGUGAAGGAAUUGCCACUUUUGCAUGAGAGAUUAUAUGUUGGUAUUGCUGUUCUGAUCUUGAUCAUGAUGCAUGCAUGUUCGUAUCUUGUUUUUUCGACACCUCUCUCCCUAAACAUGUGGACAUAUUUAUUGAGCUAGGCUUUCGCUUGAGGACAAGCGAGGUCUAAGCUUGGGGGAGUUGAUACAUCCAUUUUCCAUCAUGUUUUCAUGUUGAUAUUUAUCGCUUCUUGGGCUGUUAUUUCACUUCACGGUACAAUACUUAUGCAUUUUCUCUUUUAUGUUGCAAGGUUUACAUGAAGAGGGAGAAUGCCGGCAACUGGAAUUCUGGCCUGAAAGUGGAGCAAAGUUGAGAUACCUAUUAUGCGCAACACCAAACGUCGUAAAAAUCAACGAUGAUUUUUUUCCAGAUUUAUAAAAAAUACUGGGGCGAAGAAGUGCCAGAGGGGCGCGUGCAGGUGGUCACAAGCUUGCACGGCGCGGCCACCCCCCGAGGCCGCGCCAUGAGGGCUUGUGGGCAGCCUGCUGGCCCACUGCCCCCCUCUUCUGCUAUAUGAAGGGUUUCGUCUAGAAAAAAAAUCAGGGAUGAGCUUUUUCGUGGAUUCGCCGCCGCCACGAGGCGGAACUUGAGCAUAACCAAUCUAGAGCUCCCGCAGGACGAUCCUGCCGGGGAAACAUCCCUCCCGGAGGGGGAAAUCAUCGCCAUCGUCAUCACCAACACUCCUCUCAUCGGAGGGGUUUCGUCACCAUCAACAUCUUCAUCAGCACCAUCUCAUCUCCAAACCCUAGUUCAUCACUUGUAACCAAUCUCCGUCUCGCGACUCGAUUGGUACUUGUAAGGUUGCUAGUAGUGUUGAUUACUCUUUGUAGUUGAUGCUAGUUGGAUUAUUUGGUGGAAGAGUUUAUGUUCAGAUCCUUGAUGCUACUCAUUACCUCUCUGGUCAUGAAUAUGAUUAUGCUUUGUGAGUAGUUACUUUUGUUCCUGAGGACAUGGGAUAAGUCAUGCUAAUAGUAGUCAUGUGAAUUUGGUAUUCGUUCGGUAAUUUGAUAUGUUGUAUGUUGUUUUUCCUCUAGUGGUGUUAUGUGAACGUCGACUACAUAACACUUCACCAUUAUUUGGGCCUAGAGGAAGGCAUUGGAAAGAGUAAGUAGAUGAUGGGUUGCUAGAGUGACAGAAGCUUAAACCCUAGUUUAUGCGUUGCUUCAUAAGGGGCUGAUUUGGAUCCACUAGUUUAAUGCUAUGGUUAGACUUUGUCUUAAUUUUUCUUUCGUAGUUGCAGAUGCUUGCGAGAGGGGUUAAUCAUAAGUGGGAUGCUUGUCCAAGUAAGGGCAGUACCCAAGCGCUGGUCCACAUAAGUGGGAUGCACUCCCUCUCUCAUAGAUGUUAGUCUUCAUAGAUAGAUCUUGGUGAGCAUAGGAUUUUUUUUGUUUCCCAUGCGACAUUCCCCAAUAGUGGUAUCAUGAGCUUGGUCUAUGCGUAGAAGACAUCAUGAGUAGAAAACAAAGGAGUUUGUGGGCAUUGAUAUUCAGAUUGCUUCCCUCCUUAGUAUUUUCUUGAUUCAGCAGUAUUGUGGGAUGAAGCGGCCCACACCAACCUUACUCCACGUACGAGAGACUGGUUCCAUUGACUGAUAUGCAACUUGUUGCAUAAAUAUGGCUGGUGGGUGUAUGACUCUCCCACUUUAGUUGAAUCGGAUUCAAUAGAGGCGGUCCUUGUAGAAGGUUAAAUAGAAACUUGCAUAUCACCAUUUUGGUUUUGCGUAGGUAAGAAGCGUUCUUGCUAGAUACCCAUAGGAGCCACAUAAAACAUGCAACAAGAAAUUAGAGGAUGUCGAACUUGUUCUUGCAGGGUAUGUUGUGAUACGAUAUGGCCAAAUGACAUGAUAAUAUAUAUUUGAUGUAUGUGAUAAUCAUGUUGUCAUAGUUAAUAUCGACUUGCAUGCCGAUGCUACAACAACCGGGAGGAGACAUAGGGUUGUCCCUAAUUAUUGUAUGACAUGUGUGUCAAUCAUUAUGUAAUGCUUUACUUUAUCGCUAAACGGUAGCAAUAGUAGUAGAAGCAAGGUUGCCGCGACAACCUUGAUGGAAACACAAUGGUGGAGAUCAUGAUGAUGGACAUCAUGGUGUUGUGCAGGUGACGAUGGAGAUCAUGCCGCUUCUUUAAAGAUGAAGAUCAAAAAGCACAAGUUCAUGGCCAUAUCAUGUCACUUAUGAUUUGCAUGUGAUGUUAAUCCUUUUUAUGCACCUUGUUUUUCUUAUGACGAUAUUAGCAUUAUAAGGUGAUCCCUCACUAAAAUUUCAAGAUAAAAUUGUGUUCUCCCUGAGCGUGCACCGUUGCGAAAGUUCGUCGAUUCGAGACACCACGUGAUGAUCGGGUGUGAUAGACUCUACGUUCACAUACAACGGGUACAAGGCAGUUUUGCACAUGCCAAACACCCAGGUUAAACUUGAUGAGCCUAGCAUGUACACACAUGGCCUCGGAACAUAGGAGACUGAAAGGUCGAACACGACUCAUAUAGUAGAUAUGAUCAACAUGAAGAUGUUCACCAUUGAAACCACCUCAUCUCACGAGAUGAUCGGACAUGGGUUGGUGGAUUUGGAUCAUGUGACACUCGAACAACCUGAGGGAUGUUGAGUUGAGUGGGAGUUCUUAAGUAAUAUUAUUAAUUGAACUCAUUAUCAUGAACAUAGUUAAUAUGUCUUUUGAAAUAAUGUUGUAGAUCAAUAGCUUGUGCUGUAGCUCCCCUAUAUUUUGAUACGUUCCUAGAAAAAACUAAGUUGAAAGAUGAUAGUAGCUAUUAUGUUGAGUGGGUCCGUAAACUGAGGAUUGUACUCAUUUUUGCAAAGAAGUCUUAUGUACUUAAUGCAACGCUCGGUGUGCUACCCCCCCGCCCCUCCGUGGUUGUUGAUAUUGCGAACAUCCGACAAACACAUUUUGAUGACUACAUGAUAGUUCAGUGUGUCAUGCUUUAUGGAUCAGAAUUGAGGAUCCAAAACGCUUUGAACGUCAAAGAACAUAGGAGAUGUUGCAAGAGCUGAAAUUUGGAUUUCAGACUCGUGCCCGUGUUGAGAGGUAUGAGACCUCCGACAAGAUUCUUUGCCUGCAAAAUGAAGGAGAAAAGCUCAAACGGUGAGCAUGUGCUCAGAUUGUCUGGGUGCUACAAUCGCUUGAAUCAAGUGGGAGUUGAACUUCCAGAUGAAAUAGUGAUUGAAAUAGUUCUCCAAAGUCACUACCACCAAGCUACCGAGCUUAGUGAUGAACUAUAGCAUACCAGGGAUGGAGAAGAUGAUCCUUGAGCUGUUCGCGAUGUUUGACACCGCGAAGGUAGAAAUCAAGAAAGAGCAUCAAGUGUCGAUGUUUAGUAAAACCACUAGUUUCAAGAAGAAAAAGGGAAAGAAGGGAAACUUCGAGAAUGACAAGUCACUUGCCACUCCAUUGAAGAAAUCCAAGGUUGAAACCAAACCCGAGACUAAGUGCUUCUAUUAUGAGGGGAAGGUCACUUAGGCGGUACUGCCCUAGAUACUUGGUAGAUAAGAAGACUGUCGGCGUCAACAGAAAUAUAUUAUAUAUACGUGUUAUUGAUGUGUACAUUACUAAUACUCCUAGUAGCACCUGGGUAUUAGAUACCGGUUUAGUUUCUAAAUGUUGUAAGUCUAAAUAAAAUCUACAGAAUAAAUGGAGACUAGCUAAAGGCGAGGUGACGAUGUGUGUUGGAAGUGUUUCCAAGGUUGAUGUGAUCACCAUCGCACGCUCCUUCUACCUUCGAGAUUAGUGUUGAACCUAAAUAAAUGUUAUUUGGCAUUUGCAUUGAGCAUGAACAUGAUCGUGUUUAUUGCAAUGGGGUUAUUCAAUUAAGUGAGGGAAUAAUGGUUAUUCUGUUUACAUGAAUAAAUCCUUUAAUGGUCAUGCACCCAAUGUGAAUGGUUUCUUGAAUCUCGAUCGUAGUAAUACACACGUUCAUAAUAUGUAUGCCAAAAGAUACAAAGUUAGUAAUGAUAGUACCACUUAAUUUUGGCACUGCCGCUUAGGUCAUAUUGGUAUAAAACGCAUGACGAAGAUCCAUACUGAUGGAUCUUUGGACUCACGCGAUUUUGAAUCAUUUGAGACAUCUGAACCAUGCCUAUUGGUGUAAACUCAUGAAGAAAUUCCAUGCAAAUGUAUCUUUUGGACUCACAUGAUUUUGGAUCACUUGAGACAUGCAAACCAUGCCACAUGGGUAAGCUGACUGAAGGCCUCGUUUUCGAGUGAGAUGGAAUGAGCAAGUGACUUAUUGGAAAUGCUAUAUUUUGAUGUAUGCACUCCAAUGAGUGUCGAGGCACGCAGUGGAUAUCAUUAUGUACUUACUUCACAAAUGAUUUGAGUAGAUACAUGUGUAUUCACUUGAUGAAUCACGAGUGUGAAAUAUUGAAAAGUUCAAGCAAUUUUAGAGUGAAAUUGAAGAUCAUCAUGACAAGAGGGUGAAAUGUCUAUGAUAUGAUCUUAGAGGUGAAUAUCUGAGUUGCGAGUUUGGUAUAUAUUUAAGACAAUAUGGAAAUUGUUUCACAACUCAAGGCACCUGGAACACCGUUGUGUGAUGGUGUGUCCGAACAUCGUAGACGCGCCCUAUUAGAUGUGGUGCAUACUAUGAUGUCUCUUAUCAAAUCACCACUAUCAUUUUCGGGUUAAGCGUUAGAGACAAACACAUUAACUUUAGAUAGGGAACCAUAUAUUCCCAUUGAAAUGACAUCGUAUGAACUAUGGUUUGGCAGGAAACCUAAGCUGUCGUUUCUUAAAGUUUGGGGCUAUGAUGCUUAUGCUAAAAGGCUUCAUCCUGAUAAGCUCGAACCCCAAGAGGAUAAAUGCAUCUUCAUAGGAUACCCAAAACAGUUGGGUAUACCUCCUAUCUCAUAUCCAAAACAAAAGUGUUUGUUGCCGAAAUGGGUCCUUUCUCGAGAAAGAGUUUCUCUCGAAAGAGUUGAGUGGGAGGAUGGUGGAACUUGAUGAGGUUUUUGAACCGUCACUUCAACCAGAUAGUAGAAGGGCGCAUGAAGUUGUUCCUCUAGCGCCUACACCAGUUGAAGUGGAAGCUGAUGAUUGUUAUCAUGAAGCAUCAGAUCAUGUUACUAGCAAACCUCGUAGGCCGACAAGAACACGUACUGCUCCAGAGUGGUAUGGUUAUCCUGUCUUGGAGGUCAUGUUGUUGGACAAUAAUGAACCUACGAGCUAUGAAGAAGCGAUGGUGGGCCCAGAUUCUGACAAAUGGCUGAAGGCCAUGAAAUCAGAGAUAGGAUCCAUGUACGAAAACAAAGUGUGGACUUUGGAAAAAUUACUUGAUGGUCGUAAUGCUAUUAAGUACUAAUGGAUCUUUAAAAGGAAGACAUACGACGAUGGUAAAUGUCACUUUUUAUAAAGCUCGACUUGUCGCAAAGAAGUUUCUGACGAGUUCAAUGAGUUGACUAUGAUGAGACUUUCUCACCCAUAGCGAUGCUAAAGUUAGUUGGAAUUAUGUUAGCAGAUGUUGCAUUUUUCGAUUAUGAAAUCUGGCAGAUGGAUGUCAAAACAUUGUUUCCUUGACGGUUUCCUUGAGGAAAGGUUGUACGUGAUACAACCAGAAGGUUUUGUCGACCCCAAAGGAUGCUAACAAGUAUGCAAGCUCCAGCGGUCCUUCUAUGGACUGGAGCGAGCAUCUCAGAGUUGGAAUAUACACUUUAAUGAGAUGAUCAAAGAUUUUUGGGUUUAUACAAAGUUUAUGAGAAAUCUGUAUUUACAAGAAAGUGAGUGGGAGCACUAUACUUUUUUGAUAAGUAUAUGUGGUUGACAUAUUGUUUAUCGGAGAUUAUGUAGAAUUUCUCGAAAGUGCAUAGGGUUGUUUGAAAGGCGUUUUUCAAAGGAACCCCUGGAUUAAGCUACUUGAAUAUUAGGCAUCAAGAUAUAUAGAGAUAGAUCAAGACGCUUGAUAAAACUUUCAAUGAAUACAUACCUUGACAAGAUUUUGAAAGAGUUCAAAAUGGAUCAGUCAAAGAAGGAGUUCUUGCGUGUAUUGUAAGGUGUGAAUUUGAGUAAGACUCGAAGGCCGACCAUGACAGAGGAAACAGAAAGGACGAAGGUUGUCUCUUAUGCCUUAGUUGUAGGCUCUAUAGCAUGCCAUGUUGUGUACCGCACCUGAUGUGUGCCUUGCCAUGAGUCUGUCAAGGGGUACAAGAGUGAUCCAAAGUUGAUCACUAGACAACGGUCAAAAUUAUCCUUAAUAAGUUGAGGACUAAGGAAAUGUUUCUUGAUUAUAGAGGUGAUAAAAGAGUUCAUCAUAAAGGGUUACGUUGAUGCAAGCUUUGACACCAAUCCGGAUGACUCUGACUAGCAAACUGGAUUCGUAUAGUGGAGCAGUCAUUUGGAAAAGUUCCAAGUGGAGCGUGGUAACAUCAUAUAUAGUAUGACACGGGGAUUUCUAAAAUACACACAUAUCUGAAUGUUGUACACCCUUGACUAAAAAUCUCUCUCACGAGCAAGACAUGAUCGAACCCCAGAAAUGUAUGGGUGUUAGAUCCAUUACAAUCUAAAUCAAAUAGUGAUGUGAGCUAGAUUAUUGACUCUAGUUUAAGUGGGAGACUAUUGGAAAUAUGCCCUAGAGGGAAUAAUAAAGUAGUUAUUAUUAUAUUUUCUUGUUCAUGAUAAUCAUUUAUUAUCCAUGCUAGAAUUGUAUUGAUUGGAAACUCAAAUACAUGUGUGGGUACAUAGACAACACUGUGUCCCUAGUGACCUCUAAUGGGCUAGCUCGUUGAUCAAAUAUGGCCAAAGUUUCCUGGACAUAGACAUGAGUUGUCAUUUGGUAAGGGGUCACAUCAUUAGGAGAUUGAUAUGACAAACAAGACCCAAACUAUGAAUGUGGCAUAUGAUCGUGUGAGUUUAUUGCUACUGUUUUCUGCAUUUCAAGUAUCUGUUCCUAUGACCAUGAGAUCAUGCAACUCCCGAACACCGAAGGAAUGCCUUGUGUGUAGCAAAUGUCAUAACGUAACUGUGUGACUAUAAAGGUGCUCUAUAGGUAUCUUUGAGGGUGUUUGUUGGGUUGGCGUAAAUCGAGACUGGGAUAUGUCACUCCGAAUGACGUAGAGGUAUCUCUAGGUCUCACUCGGUAAUACAACAUCACAAAAAGCUUGCAAGCAAUGUGAAUAAGGAGUUAGUCACGGGAUAUUUCAUUACAGAAUGAGUAAAGAGACUUGACGAUAACGAGAUUGAAUUAGGUAUGCAGAUACCAACGAUCGAAUCUCGGGCAAGUAACAUAUCGAUGGACAAAGGGAACAAUAUACGAGAUUGAUUGAAUCCUUGUUAUCGUGGUUCAACUGAUAAAGAUCUUCAUAGAAUAUGUAGGAGCCAAUAUGGGCAUCCAGGUCUCGCUAUUUGUUAUUGACCACAGAGUGUCUCGGUCAUGUCUGCAUAGUUCUCGAACCCGCGGGGUCUGCACACUUAAGGUCCAGUAACGAUAUAGUAUCAAUGAGUUAUGUGUGGUGAUAAAAAAAAGUUGUUCGGAGUCUCGGAUGAGAUCUCGGACGUCACGAGGAGCUCCGAAAUAGUCCGGAGGUAAAAAUUUAUAUGUAGGAAAGUGGUAUUCGGGUUCCGGAAAGGUUUCGGGUGUUUCCGAUAGUGUACCGGGUGUGCCGAAAAGAUUCCAGGGGUCCACCGGGAGGAGCCCACCCCCCCGAGGAGCACAUGGGCCUAAGAGGUGGCGCACCAGCCCCUAGUGGUGUGGGCAGCCGACCCCUAAAGGGCCCAUGCGCCCAAGGUGGUAGGUGGGGGUGUCUUAGAGAGGUGGGAGUCCUCCCUAGGGCUUCCACCUCCCUCAAGGGAGGUGGACUCUUCCCACCUUGGUCGGCCAACCCCUCCUUGGAGGAGGGGCUAGGGCUGCACUCCACCUACCCCCUCUUCCUAUAAAUAGAGAGGGAGAGGGAGGGAAGCGACACUCCAAGGCAUAGGUGCAGCCCUCCCUCUUCCCUAGAUGUGUUUCUCCUCCAAAACUCAUUUGUGGUAGCGCUUGGCGAAGCCCUGCUGAGAUUGCUCCACCACCACUGCCACCACGCCGUUGUGCUGUCGGAGAACUCAUAUACCUCUCCUCCCUAGCUUGCUGGAUCAAGGAGGUGGAGAACAUCAUCGAGUUGUACAUGUGCUGAACAUGGAGGUGCCGUCCGUUCGGCACUAGACCGGGAUGGAUCAUGAUGAGAUUACGGGACGGAUCAUGAUGGGAUCGUGGGACAGAUUGCGAUUUGGAUCGUGAAGACAUUCGACUACAUCAACCGUGUUAUAUACGCUUCCGCUUAGCACUCUACAAGGGUAGGUAGAUGCACUCCCCCUCUCGUAGAUGUUAGUCUCCAUAGAUAGAUCUUGGUGAGCGGAGGAAUUUUUUUGUUUCCCAUGCGACGUUCCCCAAUAGAUAUGUUUGAAAUUCAUUCCCAUUGCUUGCAUGGGACCUAAUCAUGCAUCCAGGGACACAUGUAUGAUUUUUCAACAUAUUUUCAUGCACUAGAUCUUGUGAUUGUAGUUCCAAUUUGAAUUAUGCACAUUAAAUGCCUAGAAAACUCAAUUAAUGUAUUAAAAAUGCCAAACGAACCGUGAAAAAUUCCAUAGUUAAGCAUGACAAUCAUAUUGCUCUAUGGUGACUCUAGAAAAAAAUUCAAGUCAAGAAGAGACAACCAAUGAUGUUGCUCUAUUAAUGUAUUAAAAACACAAUUAAUGAUUUGGUGAAUAUUUCCUAUCAGAACCACAUGGCUUCUUGUGAGAAUGUUCGGUUUGUAAGAUGUUUGUGCCAAGACUUGUCUCAAAUUGGGCAAUUUUUUUACCACAACACACAUGAGACAUGACAUGACACCAUGCAAAGUUUCAUCAAUUUUUAAGGAUCACUACUUCAGGAUGCUGCUAAUGCGACACUACAAUCACAAACCCUUUGACAAAACUGUGUGCGAUGCAUGAAUCGCAAACGGUAUAGUUCAAGCUCCAUCGCCAAUAAUGUCAAUUGUGUGCAAUGGCGAACCCAUCAAAUACGAUUCAUAUAACACUUACGUGUAUGAUUUGUGCCACACAGUUCUUCCAAACGAACUGUUUGCGAUUAGCUAAAAUAACACAAUCAGUUACAAAGAUCAAGAUGUGUGCGAUAGAGGGCAGACAGCUCACUACCAUAACAUGUGUGCGGCGAUAUAGCACAACACAAACAAUCCGGCAUAACAAGGUGUGUGUGAUAUACUUUGAUACGUCUCCAUGGUAUUUAUAAUUUUUGAUUGUUCCAUGCUAUUAUAUUAUCAUCCUAGGAUACUUUUGGAGUCAUAAUUUACCAAUUUAUAUUAGUUUUGAGCACUAACCUAUUGACCUAGUGUCGAGGCUAGUUGUUGUUUGCUAUGUGUUUUUUUUCUUUUCAGGUUUAUAGUACCAAACGAAGCCCAAUUGCCCCAAAACUUUCUUAUGAUUUUUUCUAGACCAAAAGGAGACCUAGAAUCCUCGGGAGAAGACGAGAGGCCACACUAGAGAGUCACAAGCCAACAUGGCGUGGCCAAGGGGGUCGGUGUGCCCUGAUGGCUUGUCCCUCCCUGGUGGCCCCUCUACCUCCGUUCUAUGGCCUAUAAAGUCACAUAUGUCCCAAAACCCCUAAAAAACAUCGUGAAACACUUUUCCGCCACCGCAAGUCUCUGUUCCAUGGUGAUCCCAUCUAGAGUUUCGUUCCACCACCCUGCUCGAGGGGGGAUAAAUCACGUAGGGCCUCACGUUAACCUUGCUUCCCUCAUCAUGAUGUGUGAGUAGUUUACCACAGAACUAUAGGUCUGUAGUUAGUACCUAGACAGCUCUCUCUCUCUCGAUCUUUAAUAUAAUGGGCAGCCUAUCUUCACUUUGAUCUGUCUGAUGAAAUUCUUUUGUAUGGUGCGUUUUUUGGGAUCCAAUGAAUUGUGGGUUUAUGUUAAGAUUAUUCAUGAAAAGUAUUUGAGUAUUGUCUGAUUAUUAUGAUUCUUUGAGUUUACUUUGUCUACAUCAUGUCAUCGUUCUCCAAGCGUUACUCUAUUUAUCAUGAACUUAAUACGUAGACAGGCAAGCAUUGAAACACUCUUAAAGUGGAGUAAUAAUAGUAGGUGCAGGCAAGAGUCGGCCUAUUUUCUUAUGGACGUGAUGCAUAUAUACACAUGAUCAAUCCCAUGAAAAUUACGUAACUAUCCGCUUUUCUCUCAAUUGCCCAAUAGUAAUUUGUUUACCCACUAUAUGUUCCUUUCAUGAGAGAUGCCAUUAGAGAACAAUACGCCCCCGGAUAUAUUCACUUAUAUAUUCCCAACACUUAUCUUUACCUCACUAUUCUUAUUGGUCUUCCAUUUUAUUUUGCAAUUUACAGUUCUCUACAAUUGUCUACACACCCCAUUCGCUUGCAAAUAACGAGAUCAAGGGGAUUGACAACCCACUUGCCCGCGUUGGGCAGAAGUUGUUUGUUCUUUUAUGUGCGACCGUUGAAGACGGUUGAGGAUUGAUAUUUCUAUUACUUUGAUAAACCUUGGUUUCUUAACUGAGGCAAAUAAUUACCCGUAUGGUGCUGCAAUUACCCGUUCCUCUUCACGGAAAACCCAAUGCAGAUCACAAGUAUCAGGAAGUAUUACUGGUGCCAUCGCGGGGAAUAUCAUCACUAACUAUCAAGUAACUUUACACAAAUUAUCAUUCACUUGUUCUUCUUUUUUAUUUUCUGUUAUAUUUUUUUGCUUCAAAAAAUUCAAAAAUACAAAAAUAUUUACCUUUGCUUGUUAGUAGUUUACUUCUUUGCUCAUUAGUUCACUUGUCCUUCUAGUUCCUCCCCUAUUUUGUUGAUUUGAGAGAAUGAAGUGUUUAAUUUUAAACAAAGGGGAGGAUAAAAAUUGAAAGAUGCUUCGUAUCGGAUUUUCAAUUCUCAAAAUAAAUCAACUCAUAAGCAAUCCACUACUACCUUGCUUCGCAAUUUCUAUGUGGGUGGGAGAACUAGGUAUUAAUUUGUCCUUCACACCAUCACCACUGGUAAUUUCUUAAUGUGUCACACUUUGGAUGCCUAUAACGCCAUUGAAAAUAUUGUGGGGUCACAUCCUACUAUUGUCAUGGAACCAUUUUAACAUUGGAAGAGUCAUUCAUACGCUUGAUCCUAUUCAAAAGAAAAUUACUACUAAUGAACAAAUUGAGGAGUUCGAUAAAAAGCUUCAUAAUCGUAUCACUCAAUUUGGGUCAUGGGUAGGAAUGACUUUGAAAACAAUGAAGGAGAAGGAUACUAUUAUAGAUGAGAGGGUAGAGAAAAUCAUGAAUGGGAUACAUAAAAUGUAGGAAGCCAUUGAUAAAUUAGGUUUUGGUUUCACUCCCUCCAAAACUAAUGCUAGUACCUCUCGAAGUAAAAGUCCCAAAUCAUAUAUAUUACUAAGAGCAUUAGUACCCUCCUACCAAAAGGAAUGAAGACCUCAAAAGGAUUAGUGUACAUGCCAAAUUUGUAAACUAUAUAAAGCAUCCUAUUUUCAAGUCCCCUAUUGUUAUUGAGAAUCUUGAUGUCAAAGAUGACAACAUUUGAUCAUAUGCAUCAUGCCUAGCUAGGGGCAUAAAACAAUAUGCUUGUUGCGAGGCAACCCAAUUGUUAUCUUCAUUUUUGUUUUUUUACUUUCUGUUUUGGUGUGAUGAAAUGAUUAUUGCCUAUGUAAUGAUUGUUCUUUUAUGUUUAAAUUAGUGUUUGUGCCAAGUUAAGCCUUUGGGAUGACUUGUAUGAUGAGUAGAAUUGAUAAGGUGCAAAAACAAAACUUUGACGUCCAAUGUUGAAUUUCUCUGAUUUUAGUAGAAUGUCAUUUUAAGAUGAAUGUUUUACACGGCAUUUGUAUACAAAUUCUUAGUUUGUCCUAAUUUUUCAGAAUGUUUCGAUUUACACAAGUAUGGGUUCAUUAUAGAUCAUUACAAAUUGUUAUGUCUUAGACAUAUUCUGUUUUCGCUUGCAUAGUCUGCUUGUUUUCAUGAUGCUAUGGAUUGUAUCCGCGGGGGGGGGGGGGGGNNNNNNNNNNNNNNNNNNNNNNNNNNNNNNNNNNNUGCGUAUGAUGCUGGGGGGGGGGGGCUGGUAUAAACCAUGUAGAAAAGUACAAUACAAUACCUAUUAUGCGACAAUGAAAUAUGAAUAAAUUUAUAACAGUACCUAAAUUAUUUCAUAUGUGCUCAUAGUAACUGAUCUCAUGAAGUUUUGUUGAGUUUUGUGUGAUUGAAGAUUUCAAAUUUUGGGUGUUAUCGCAAUGGAAAAAGGAAUAAAGAGCGGCAAGAGCCUAAUCUUGGGGAUGCCCAAGGAAUGCCAAGGUAAUAUUCUAGGAAUACUCAAGCGUCUAAGCUUGGGUAUGCCCCAAAAGGCAUCCCCUCUUUCGUCUCAAUCCAUCAGUAUGUCACUUGGAGCAACAUUUUUAUUCGUCACAUGAUAUGAGUUUUGCUUGGAGCAUCGUUUGCUUUUGUUUGAUUUUACUUUUAGUUUUCCACAAUCAUCAUUUUCGUAUGCUAGUAGGAAUCACUUUUUCAUUAUCAUAAACUUGGCUUGUAUAUUCCGAUGACAUGCUUCCUCAAAUGCUCGAGGUCUUCAUGAGCAAGCAAGUUGGAUGCACACUCCACUUAGCUUCAGUCGAGCUUUCAUACUCUUAUAGCUCUAGUGCAUCAUUUGCAUGGAAAUCCCUACUCCUUGCAUUGAUAUCUACCGAUGGGCAUCUCCAUAGCCCGUUGGUACGCCUAGUUGAUGUGAGACUAUCUUCUCCAUGUUUUACCCCUUUGAUAUCUACCACCAUAUUCUAUUCCACCUUUAUGAUAUGUCCAUGGUUCACGCUCAUGUAUUGCGUGAAGAAUAAAAAGUUGAUCCACAUUCAAAAAGUAUGAUCCNNNNNNNNNNNNNNNNNNNNNNNNNNNNNNNNNNNNNNNNNNNNNNNNNNNNNNNNNNNNNNNNNNNNNNNNNNNNNNNNNNNNNNNNNNNNNNNNNNNNGAGAGAGAGAGAG
rnacentral:lncRNA from 1 species